AGGCACGCUUGAGUGUGGACGCCAUCGCUGCUGCCGUCAUCUGGAUCAGGGUGUCAGGGAGGAAGCAAUCCGAAGCAAGAAGAACUGAGAAAAAUGAAAAGUAUCAGCAGCCAGAAGCAUGUAGGCAACAGUACUGGAUAAUCUGUUGCUGCAUAUAAAUACUGAAUUACAACAGCAGACAUGCUUUGAAAACUACAUUACAUAUUACAACAGCAUAAUAAAAAUGUACUCAAAUAUAUUCACAAAAGCACACAGACUAUAUAUUAGUCCUUUCACAAUUGGAGUAAGAAAUGCAAGGAUAGUUAUAACUUGGAAGUUUCGCAUUAAUAGCCUAAUAACAAAUUUCAAAUAAAAACAGUAUUAGUUCUAAUAUUAUAUGCCAAAGUAGAAAAGAAAGCCUCGCAGUUCUCUCAGUUAUCACAAAAGUAAUAUACCACUUUGAUCCAAGCUUAAGUGGGCGGAAAAGAGACAGCAUGGAUCACAUAUGAGAUGUGCUAGCCACAGAGGCAAGCUCACAAAAACAAACAAAGGUCCUGGUAGAAUAUGAUGAUACAGUUGUUCUCAGGCGAGGAAAUAAAAAAUUCAAUAACAUAAGCUAAUUUCAGGGACCAUAAUGGCGCUGCAUCAAGUGCAGUUCAAUUUCAUGCAUGUAUCAGAUGAAAUGAAGCAAUAGCAAAGCUACGAUUCACCUGAAACUAUUCCUACUUAAUUACUUAUGCCAAGUGACAGGACAUCUAGAGGAAUGAACAGACUUGUCACAUAGCGAGCUCCACAAUGGAAAGAAGCCAGCACAAAAAACUGAGUCUUCUUAGUGAAUCAACUCAUUACUGAAUCUUCUAAGUGAAUCAACUAGUACUACAACCAAAUUCAGUGAAUUAAGCUACUCCAUUUUGAAGUACUGCUCGAGUGCUCAAACAUGAAGAUAUACAAGUACUACAGGUUUCUCGAAGGCAUAGAAUCGACCUAGCGUGUCACAAGAGACAUAUUAGUACAUUUUGUUGGUAAGGCAAGGAAACAUAUAGCACUAUGUACUGCAGCUAGAGAAUUAUGCCCAGUUCACUUCAUUUGGAGUUAAUAAACUCGAUAACAGUCACUGGCAGUAAGACACCACUACUACAAGAACUAUUGUAGUAGUUGAGGAAGAAGAUUUUAGUACAGUACUACUACACAUGUGUACUAACUAGUAAGUAAUAGGAUACACACAAGUAACUAGGUGUAGUAGUAGAAGGGACCUAGAUAAUACCCAAGACACGUACUGCUAGUAAAUUGCUGUUAUAGGUGAGACAAGAGAGCAGGUGGUACUAUGUGGUGCUGCUAGGAAGGGAAUUAUGGCCACUCAAAAUAAAUUAACAGUGAGUAGUCGAUGGAGUGUCACCAGCAGCAAGAUAGCACUACUCUUCUAGUACUCCAGCAAGAAGAAUAAAGUAUAUAAUACACAUGCAAGGCAUUUAGCUGGAGAAUACAUAACCAGGAUUAGAAAAACAGAGCAUAAAUGGGCAGUUUGGCAUUUGCUAUGCUGUACAGCAUUGGGCUGCUGAAUUUAGUUACUUAUGCAGAAUCUUCCCUGAUUCGAGUAAACUUAUUGUUAUGGCUCUAAAGAGGUUAGCACAGCCAACUCCAUCUGGUUGGGCUGAUGGCUUGGCAGCGGAGCUGCUUGCAUGUUCUUCUGGAAGCUCAUGCCCUUGAGGUCCACUCGCGGACGGCGGGGUCGAUCACGUCCUUGUACACCUUGUCCUGCCCUUGCACAUACACCUCCUGCACCCACCCACACACACAUUCAUUCAUUCAGCAGCAUCACCAAGUGUAUGCAUGCGUAUGGAGCAGAGCAGAGGAGAGGAUUCAUGGAGGAGUACCUGCCAUCCGAAUGGGUAGACGAAGGAGUAGCUGGCCUUCUUGUCGAUGACCGGCAAGAACUUGCCGUCCACCGCCGCGACUGGGCAGUACCUUUUUUGGGGCUAGCCGGCGCCAUGGCCCUGAUGGUGGCGGAGAGCAGCCUCCGUGCCGGCGUCUUGGCGGUCGGGGAAGGGAGGCCGAGGCCAUGGCCGUGGAGGGAACUCGUCGCCGGCGAGCACGAUGGAGUGCAGGCACUUGGCCCUGUCCUCCUCAUCCAGCGGGUACGGCAGAGACGCGCCCGCGAGGGCGUACAGGUCGGCGAAGACACAGGCCCCAGAGGCGCCGGCCUCGGCAGCGACCUUGCGGAGCGAGCCGCCGGCGCGGGAGGAGUUGAGGCAGCCGAGGUCGAGCCCGGAGACGAUCCCCGACGGCGCUGCCUCGAGGGCCUGCCGGUGCGCGCGCACGGAGGGCCAUGCUGGUGCGCCCCGCCCGCCCGCCGCCUUGUCUACGUGCAGCGGUGGUUGGAUCUGGAUGGGGAUGGCCGUGUGGCUGUGGUGUAGCGAGCAGAGGUGGCGGAGGCGAUGGGGAAAAGGGAGCGUGAGCAGCAGCGGUGAAGGGGAUAAGGGUACAGCGCCAUGGCGGGCCGGCGAGGAAGGGGCGGAGGCGGCGGUGAGGUUCUUGGCCGGAGAAGGGGAGGAGGGGAAAGGUGGGAGGAAAUCUAUGGGCUGGUUGCGGCGGGCGGGCGGUGGUUUUGCACUAGAGGUAGAUAGCACUAGAGGAGAUGGGGAUGAGGUGGGAGGGAAGCGGAGAGGAGGGGGAGAGGCCGCUGGCGGCAAGGUUUGGGAGGGAGGUGAGGGGGGAUGGGAUCGGGGUGGGUGACGGCGGCGAUGUGGGAGACGAGGGGAGCGAGAUCUGGAUCGAGCGAGGAGAGGGGGGCUGCUAGGGUUUGGGUUGGGUUGGGUUGAGAGGGGACCUGAGAGACGUUGGAUCCGUCGGAUGUGGACGGUCCAGAUCGGCUAAGGGGGGUGAUCCGCGUGAAGAGCUCUGAUUGGUUCAGAAAAAUUAUGAUUUAGAAUAGUUUCUAUGUAAUAAAACUAGGAGGGUUUUGUGAAGCAACCAUCAAAAAUAUUUUGCAAAAUGGCACAAGUAAAAUUUUCUAUCAAUUUAGAGCAUAUUUUAUGGAUGAUAGCCAGUUUGCAUGCAAUUUUUUAUCUUUGUAGCUAUUUUUAAUCCUUAUUCGAGUGCCCAAAAUGAGUUUUUUUGUGAAGGGCCUACCAAAUAAUUGUUGAAAAAUUGUACCAAAUCAUUUUUCUAAAAUACUAGGCCAUAUUUAAACCACAAUUGACCAAAUUGUUGGGUGUGAGAAGUUUUGGUCCACCUCUGGUGAAAAAGACAAAUUUCCGCCGAUUCAGUUGGAAGCGGGUCAAAUUUGAACUGCAGCUGCCUCAUAGUUUGCUCUUUAUUUUUUCCAAAAAUCAUUUCUAGGUACAUAAGUAUCUAUUUAAUCAGAGAAACACCAAAAAAAUUCCAAGAUUCAACCACUAGCUAGGAACGGUCAUUCCCGACAUUUUGACCGCGUUUUGAAACGGGCAUAAAAAACUCAAAAGAAAUCAAAAAAUUGGGAAACCUUCGCAUUGUGUCAUCAUAUGUGGCCAAGUUCCCAGAAAAAUAACAAACUUGUAAUACGGCAAUUAUUAUAAAAAAGUGUUCUCAGAAAUGAGCUAUCAUGUGUGGAGAUCAAUGGCUUUCAAGCCAAAUGAUCAAUCUUAUGGCCACAUCCAUGGCAUAGUUUGUUCAAAUGAUCUCAUAUUGUGCACAAGAGUGUAUAUUGGAAUGGCAAACAAUGUUGUCUAAGGAAGUUUUCAUUUCCGUUGGACGAAAAAACCAUUUUCCAUUUUUCGAGUGCCCGAAAGGAGGUUUUUUUGUGUGAAGGAAGUACCAAAUAAUUGUUGCAAAAUUGGACCAAAUCAUUUUUCUAAAAUACUAGGCCAUAUAUAGUGCACAAUUGAGAAAAUGGUUGGGUGAAAAAAGUUUUGAUCCACCUCUGAUGAAAAAGACAAAUUGUCGUCGAUUCAGCUGGAAACGGGUCAAAUUUGAACUGUAGCUGCCUCAUAGUUUGCUCUUUAUUUUUUCCAAAAAUCAUUUCUAGGUACAUAAGUAUCUAUUUAAUCAUAGAAACACCAAAAAAAUUCCAAGAUUCAACCACUAGCUAGGAACGGUCAAGCCCGCCGUUUUGACCGCAUUUUGAAACGGGCAUAAAAAAUUCAAAAAAAAUCAAAAAAUUGGAAAACCUUCGCAUUGUGUCAUUAUAUGUGACCAAGUUUCCAGGAAAAAUAAUAAACUUGUAAUACGGUAAUUAUUUUAAAAAAGUGUUCUUAGAAAGGAGGUAUCAAGUGUGAAGAUUCAUGGCUUUCAAGCCAAAUGAUCAAUCUUAUGGCCACAUUCAUGGCAUAGUUUGUUCAAAUGAUCUCAUAUUGUGCAAAAGGGUGCAUAUUGGAAUAGCAAACAAUGUUGCCUAAGGAAGUUUUCAUUUUUGUUGGACGAAAAAACCAUUUUCCAUUUUUCGAGUGCCCGAAAGGAGGUUUUUUUGUGAAGGAACUACCAAAUAAUUGUUGCAAAAUUGGACCAAAUCAUUUUUAUAAAAUAGUAGGCCAUAUUUAAUGCACAAUUGACACAAUGGUCUGGUGUAAAUUUUUUUUAUCCACCUCUCGUGAAAAAGACAAAUUUCUGCCGAUUCAGUUGGAAGCAGGUCAAAUUUGAACUGCAGCUGCCUCAUAGUUUGCUAUUUAUUUUUUCCAAAAAUCAUUUCUAGUUACAUAAGGACCUAUUUAAUCAUAAAUACAUGGUUUGGUGGCGAUACGUCGAGGUUUGGGCGGUGGCCGAGGGCCCCAACUCUAGAGCGCGUAAACUCGCAUGCCCGCCGCGUGGUCACCGCGUGACCGUGGCGUUGCCAUGUGUUCUGGGCGGCCUAGGCAUGUCUAGUGGGUUGGGCAAUCCCCAGGUUGGUGCUAGGAGGAAAAUUACAACAUAAGAUUCUCACGAGGAGACCAAUCGAUGCUCAAACAUGAAUUAGCAGCCAAGUGUUUGAUUAGCGGUACAGGAAAUGUACAUGGCUAAUGGGCGUGAGUUUUGGCUGAGGAUGAUCAGUUACUAAGAAGACCGUUUUCACAAAUUUUCAGCUCAAAAGGAGGAGCCUAGGUGGUACUUGCUUUGCAAACCACCACACUGGACAUAAAUAUGAAUGUUGAAGCUCGGCUCAAAAUAAUGAAUGGAUUGAGCUGGCAUUUGGUGGACGAUGGUUAUUUGGGCAUAGGAAAGCACUGUAGAAAAUGGAUACUAUUUGGACAUGCCAAAGUGGUACUUCCUUCACAAACUGUUACUCUGAACAGAAUACGAAAAUGAAUAUUUUUGAAUUAUUUUUGAACUAGCCAAGGAAGGUUUUUACAUAUUUGACAAAGAUAUGACCCAAAGAAUUUAUGAGAUUUUUUUGGAAAUUUUGGGAAUGACAGAAAUAUAGGUUGCUUCACAACCUAGGGCAAAAACUGCCACAUGGACAUGACACAUAGGCAAAACUGAUGAGGUAGCGCCUAGUCAUAGCAAUAAGUACCAAUGCAUCCACGUUCACAACCUCAUGACCAUUUAUAUUGGUCGUAAUCAGGUAGAAAUAAGGUCAUUGGCGCCUCUUGUCUGCUUUGUGACCAUUUGGUGUAAGCAAUUUCAGGGUUUGAGCCCUUCCAAGCGAAAUGGCCGUGAAUUUACGACCAAUUCAGCUGGGGUCACUAAGAGAAGGUCAUAAGUUGACAUAUUUCUUGUAGUGCUUCUAGUGAUUUAUGAUGUCGAUGAUGAUGAUAUGUGUCGGUUGAACUUGUAUACUUUUUGUAUUUAUGAAACUUUGUGAUGUCCACGGUCCCUACCGAACUUGCGUAACGCUACUUUGUUAGUUUGCGUACGAUGACUUGCGUACCUCUAGUUAAUUAAUUUGCGUACUGUAUAUGUUGCAUCUAGUUGCUAACCCUUUCUUUUUCGGUGUUGCUCUAGUAUAUUUUGUUGCAUAUAUAUGAUUGUACAUCCUCUUCAUGAACAUGCAUCUCUAACAGGUACCUAGUUUCUUGAUGGCGAGAUGGAAAUGCUAUGUCGUGUACAAAGGGAAGGUUCCGGGGGUGUACAACGAGUGGCGUGAGUGUCAGGCGCAAGUGAACGGGUUCACGGGCGCCAGCCAUAAAGGCUUCAAAAGCAGACAAGAAGGAGAAGCUAGUUACUUGAGGUUCACGCUAGCGCGAGAGAGGACUCGUAACCGCCACCUCAUGUACUGCAGAGUUCCGCUCUCACUCAUAGUGAUAGCACUUAUUGCGUAUACCUUUGUUUAGAUGGAUGACAUUGUUGUAGUUGCAAGUAUUCGAGACUUGCAUGUAUCGCUAUUUUCGAGAUGAUGACAAGAUAUCACUUUGUGUUGGAUGAUGAUUAUGAUGAGACUAUUUGUAUGUACAUGCUAUGAUUACAUUUGUGGUCUCGCAGGCAUUUGUAUGUGUCAUGAUGACAUUUCUAUGUGCUAAAGAUUCUUCUACAAAGCCUGUUCAAAUACAAAACAAAUAUGCCAAAAAAAUACUUAAAUUAGCAGUAGCGAGUGUAUAAAAGUUAGCAGCAGCGCCUCAAUAGCAGUAGCGCGUCCAGCCAAAGCGCGCUAGCGCUACUAGCAGUAGCAAGCUUCCUCGAACCGUGUUGCUGCUACACUUGUGUAGCAGUAGCGCGGGUGGGCACGCGCUACUACUAUGCGUUAGCUGUAGCGCCUUAUUAGUAGCGCCGGUACCCGCGCUACUGAUACAUCCAAAACCCGCGCUGCUGCUAGCCUUUUCCCUAGUAGUGAUAUAUUUUGCGUUCUGAAUCAUCUUGGUGUGCACACAUUUGUAACAAAUUUUGUUAAGAAAAGAUGAACAAUGCAUGCCAAGCCAGCGUUCCCUUCUUCCAGGACUGCGAAUACUCGUGUAUGAUCUGAUCACAUGAAUAAGUAUCAUCAACUACGCAACAUGGCUAGUGACGUUUUAUUCACAGCCGCAACUAGCGAUUCACAGUCAGAAUAGGUGAUGGAGAUCCUCUAGAGUAUAUUGGUUGAUGGAAAGAAAAGUGAUUUGGAUGAAGGCCAGAAAUCAUGUAUUCCUUUGUCGGCAUACUACUCUGUUGCUCGCGAAUGCUGCACUGAUGACGUGGAAAAUCUAAUCAAAAUAGUUCCAAAAGGGAGACCUACUGCCGAAGAAUCCAACAAGAGAAUUAAAUCUAGGCUCGAGCGGAUGAGAGGGGAAAAAAGGAAUAAAGUUAGUGCACAUGUUUAUCUCAUUGUUCAUUUCCAUAUAUGCUUACAUUGUAAUAUGUUCUCCGGGAGAGUGUUCACAUAUUUUUCUUCAAUUUACACCGGAAAGAUUCGGGGAAAUCAAAGGACAGAAGGAGGAGGAAGCGAAAAGAGAAAGACCCAAAUACAGAAGAAGAGACAAAAGAAGAGGAAGAUUCAGAUAUAGAAGAAGAGGAAGAUUCAGAUGCGGAAAAGAGAGAGAUUCAGAUGCACAAGAUGGUGGCCGCGGAGGGGUAGGAAGAGACCCUCGAGGGAUGCUAGGCUACAGAAGGGUAUGAAGAGACCAUUCAAAGAUGGUAGGCUGCGGAAGGGUAGGAAGAGACCAUUGGAGGAUGCAGAAGAAGAUUAUGCAGAACCAAACAAGUGGGCAUUUAGCAUAGUUAUGCGUAGUUAAACAUGUUUUCCAAUGUUGGCUGCCUAUUCACCUAUUUCAUUUAUUGCAGGAAACGCAAGUGCGCUAGAAAUGUCAAAGCUAGGAGGAAGGGAAAGCAAGAUGACAAGCAAGUGUCUGCUACGAAUGUUGCAGCAAAGGGUGCGCGAAGAAAACUGGUGAAGUUAGUGUCUAUAGUUACAUACAUGUGAGCUCUACAAGUCGGGUCUUUGUUAGUACCAUGUUGAUGUUUCUUAACUUUUCCAGGAAAGACUCUAGGAAGGGUGGUAAAGAAAAGGUCAAAGGUGUGAUGAAGACAAAAAGACCUGCUAGGAAUGUAGCAAAGGCUGUGGUAAUAAGAGCCGUGAAGUUAGCUUCUGCAGCUAUCAAGAGAAAUUAUGUGAAGUUAGUUUUUUUUCAUGUCUAAUGUACAUGCUCAAAUCUUCUUUGCUAUCCUAUUAACAAAUGUUGGUUCAUGCAGGAAAGCUAAAGUGAAGUCCAUACAUGAUGUUUAGAUUCACAGAGUCAGUUAGAGAAAACAGAAGAAUUUCUGGGUGCAAAGAUUGAGAACAAAAUGAAUUAGACAGUUUUCCGUGCAGUAAUCCACCUUGUUUUGGAUGUAUUUGACCUAUUUGAUGGACGGCCACUAUAUUCGUGAAUUCCUUGUUUUAUUGGUAGCCUCAUUUUAAUAUGGACUGUUUGAGGUGGCACCCUAAUUAUGAUUUAUCAACACAUCAACAUACUGAAAUAUUCAAACCAUCAAAUAAUGCAUUUUUAGUGAAGUUUGGGUUUCCGUAUUUUUUUAUUUUUACAUUAAAUAUUGGUGAGAUUUGGUCAAAGUGUAGUCAAAUUUCAGACUUGAAAUAUUAAAUAAAAACCGAAUAAUUACAUAUACGAAAAUAACAUGUUGGAUUUCCUCAAAAACCUAUUAUUAUGACAACAAAAUUUUAAAUUUGUAUCAAAAUAGAAACUUCGUUUUCGAAUAAUCUUGAAAAAUGUUGAUUUUGAAAUAGAAAAUAAGCAUACUAAUUCCAAAAUGCUGAUUUAAAAAUUGCAUGUUGAUUUAAAAUUAGCAUGCUCAUUUGAAAAAGCAUGAUGAAUUGAAGAUAACAUGUUGUCUUGACUAUGCGGAAUUAAAAAUAGCAUAUUGCUUUGAAUAUGCUAUUUUGAAAAUAGCAUGCUAUUUUCAAUAUUGUGUUUUCAAACAGCAUGCUGAGUUGAAAUAAAACAUAUUCAAAACAACAUUCUAUCUUAAAAAAUGCUAUUUUCAAACAACAUGCUGUUUCAAAAAUGCUAUUUUAAAAAAUGCCGAUUUUAAAAAUAGCAUGCUAUUUUUAAAAUAGCACGCCCAUUGCCCUACUGCUUUAAAUAUGUUGUUUUUAAAAUAGUAAGCUGAAUUCAAAAAUAGCAUGCUGAUUUUAGAAAUAGCAUGUUGUUUUAAAAAUAUCUUGCUAUUUUGAAUAUAGCAUGCUAUUUUGAAUAUGUUGUUUUUUAAAUACCAUGCUUAUUUUAGAAAUAGGUGUUUUGAAUAUGCUAUUUUUAAAACAGCAUGCUAAUUUCAAAAAUAGCAUGCUGUUUUGAAUAUGCUGUUUUUAAAAUAGGUUGUUGGUUUUUAAAAUAGCAUGCAGUUUUGAAUAUGCUGUUUUUGAAAUAGCAUGCUAUUUUUAAUAAGUUGUUUUUAAAAUAGCAUGCUCUUCUUAAAAUAUCAUGCUGAUUUCCUCUCAACUAAAAAUAGCAUGUCAUUUCGAAAAAAACAGAAACGUCAUAUUUGAAAUAUGAAAGCAUUGACCUGCAAGUUUUUAUUUUUGCAUUGAAUAUUUUUUCUACAACACAUACAAACCUCAUUUUCAAAAUAACUCCUAGCCAACAUAGAAACCUCGUUCUCAAUAUGAAACUAGCAUCUAACCCAUAUGAAACCCGGUUAGAUUUGAUUUUCAGGAACUAGCAUCAAUUCAAAAUUAUGGCAAAAAGGAAAAAAACAUUGUAGUCUAAGGUAAUGAUAAAGGAGGCAUGAUACGUUACACUACAAACCACAUAUAUAGCCUUGCAUACCAAGUACUGUAGGUCACAUAAGUUCAUACUACCAACUGCCAAGUUCCACUUACUGGACGAUCUUCAUAUCCAGUAGGACCCAAAAGUUGAUACCGCCAAGUUCCAGUUACUGCCUAAUAAAUACAUAUUAUAACAACUAGCGUCAAGCUAUGCCAUUCAGUCAUGGUUCAUCACAUGGAUCAACGAAGCUUCAUGCCACUGGCCAUGUUCACCUUAAGCCCACCUCCCCUCCUUCCAUGAACCCGAAGAUAGCCAUAUGAUCUUCUUUCAUAUUGGCGUCCUCGACGACUUCCCUCCAGUUCUUUGUCAUGAUCGCAUGCCCAUCCUGCUUGCCCAUCUUCAACAAGACCUUUUUAGAACCUUCAAACGUUCGUUGGUGACACGCACACCCUUCGGCUUUCACAGAUAAUCUUUGAGGUAGACCUUACUAUAAUCCUUUGAGAAGCACUGAUUGCACAAGGAAAUAAAUAAUGUUACAUGAUGGCAUUUUCACUGGUGAAAUAUGAUUUGCAAAAAAGGUCCAAGUGUUUACCAUCUUGCUCUUCCCUUUGAUGACUGUCGAGCGAGUGACGGUGUAGACAUAGUAUGGUAUGGCAGGUUUGCAAUGCUUUACUAUGGAUUCAUGACGAUCCUACUUACUCAGCUCUAGCAAGACAUGAUUGUCGUAGAUGAUGUGUUUCUCGAAACCUUUUCUCACCUGGUAUCUUGGACAUGUAUUAAAAAAAUUAAGAUGGCAUAGUAGGAAAUAAUUUCAUACAUAAGAUCUAGAACAUCAACACAACACUGGGUUGAUGAUCAAUGCCUACUCCAAUGAUCAAGAAAUGAAGGACAUAGCAAUAUCUCAUAAAAACAUGGGCAAAUUGAAUAUUUGAUUGAUUUAAACUAACAACUAAACACUCUACUCUAUUUAAGCUCUAGUUUAGUCAAUGUUGAUUUGGAAAAAGGCAAUGGGUCAUCUAGAACCCAAACAGAGUAAUGUGUGGUAAUCAAGUGUUACUCAAACCUGAACUUUAGAUAGUUCACUGUUCAAUUAAUAUCAGACUAGCCAUAUAGAACUUUACGCCUUUCUGGACGAUGGGAUCGUGGUCGACAUCAGAAUUAUCAUCAGUGUCAUAGUCGCUAGAGGUGUUGUCAUCACCGCUAUAGCCGUCACUCCCAUGUGAAGUUCCAUCUGAAGCAUCAUCUGAGUUGGUCCAGUGAUCAUUCUCUUCACUGUUGAUGAGGAUGGUUUCCAUUGAAACCUGUUGCAUGCAUUGCAAUGAACAAAUGAUAGUUAUUGAUAUAUGAAAUCAGUCUUACAUUAGGACUUGGCAGCACCAUAUACAAUGUGAAUGACCUUUUUGCAUACUUCUUGUUAAGUACGUAGUUCAUGUACAAACAUGUACAUGAAUAAGCUAGUCGACAACCAGACUGAGACUACUAGAGUAGUCGCACGACUAGCCAAGACUAGUGGUUAGACUCAUAAUCAUUGGCCAGACAUAACCAAUUAGGAUAUAUCAAAGUUAACAAAAAUUGGCAUAUUUUCGUGAGAUUGGUAAAAAUAUUUGGCGAAAUGCCAAAUUUUGGCAUCGAACCAUUUAUGCUGAUAGAGCAUGAUUGCUUUGCUACCAAUUUUGGCAUUGCCAAAUAUUGGCAACUUUAUGUGAGCUAGAUAAGAAAACUUGGUAACCAAUCAAAAUAAGUAGCCAGUAUUUUUGGCAACCAAUUACGCUCAUAAUUCGAACAAGUAGUAAAAAGAAUCAUCAAAAAUAUAAACCAACCAUAACUGUUACACCAUGAUUGGUACUCAACCAAUCACUUAAAAAAUCAUUUCAUCAAAAGUAUGCACAAAUUACUAGCCUUGUAUACUUAACAACUCAUUCAAAAAAUGCACCAUGAUUGAGUGUUCUCAUCGAGUAAUACGUGAAACUUUAACUGAUCUGCCUUCAACAGUGCAAAUUUCCUGAUGGGCUAUUGUGUGGUACCAUCAGCUGAUAAAUAUAAAGUAUUUAAAUUGUCCCAACAAAACAAAUAAUGCCUUUGCUCUUGUACAUAACAUUUUUAGAGGUAGCCGUGGAGGUUAAUUUUCGAGUGAGAAUAAGGACAUGAUAGCAUCUCUCAAGAAAGAUGACAGCAUAGUGAAGGCUAUGACAACGAGCAAGGUAUGCUGGCCAAGACCCACCCUUUUCUAUAUCUUGGUAUGUAUUUACUCAUUACUACCCAUACCAACAAGUAAAAUCAUGAUUAUGAAGUAAAAUGGUAGGAAAUCUAACAGUGAAGCAUUUGUUGCAAUAUGAACUACUACCUCUCAGCAAAUCUUUAUUGACCCCAACAAGCCCAUACCAUAUCAUGGAGAUAGGCUGACAUAAUUCAAAUAAGUAGUAAAAUGAAUCACCAAAAAUAUGCACCAACCAUAAAUGUUACAUGUGUGCACAUAUCAUAAAAAAUGCACCAAGCCGUAGCCGUGUAUACUCAACAAAUCCUUCAAAAUAUGCACUAAUCAUCACACUACCAUCGAAUAAUAGUGAAACUAUAACUGAUCCUCCUUCCAUCAUUACAAAUUUCCUCAUGGAUUCUUUCUAUGCUCACAUUGUAGUUUUAAAUUAAGCAUCAACAAAUACAUAUACACAGUCUUCAUAUUAUCCCAACAAACCAAAACAUGUUAUGCUGUUGUAAAUAAACUUUUUUAUAGCUAUCAUUGGGGGUUCAUUUUCUAGUGAGAAAAAGGACUUGGUAGCAUCUGUCAAGCAAGAUGAUAGCAUAGUGAAGGCCAUGUCGACGAACAAGGUAUGCUGGCCAAUAACCACCCUUUUCUCUUAAUUGCUACGAAAGUGUUUACUCAUUACUACCCAUACGAACAGGUAAAACCAUGAUUAUGAAGUACAUUGUCAGAUUAUCUUGCUGUAAAAUUGCUUGUUGCAAUAUGACCUACUCACGCAAGUGUUAGAUUUUAACUUGUGCAUUGCUGCUAGAUCGGAAAAUGACAGUCAGAUCGACAUGCGAAGGGCAGGGAAGAUCAAUCUUACCCGCAAAGUGGUACCAGAUGGAGCUAGAGAAGACUAGUUCAAAGCUGGCACCACCGGAGCUUCGGGUGGCAUGGCCAGGGAUUGGGGAGAAGAGGUGUCGUGGUCAGACCUUGUUGUCAAUGAAGUAGUGGAUAAUCAUGGCCAGAGUAGGGGGAGUGGGUAGCCUCCCGGAUCCGGCUGAUUUGGCAACGACAUGGCGGCCAAGGUGAUGGCUGGACAAACCCUAGUUGUCGCCCCCCGCGUCGCCUCUUUGUCUCUGCAAAGAACAUGAAGGGUGGGGUGGGAUUGGGAAUGGGAGGUGGGGUUGGGGUUGGGGCCAUCACUCGCUUCUCACUCUGCCUACCGGCCCACAAAAGGUAAAAAGUUUUAGGCCCGAUUAGAUGUAGGUUUGGCAGCUUACUGAUUGUGGCCAGACAGAAAAGAUUAGCAUGACCAGGCCAGUAGGACCAUCACAUGUGAGCUUUUAAUGAAACCUUAAAAAUACAGUGCUGUUUAUAUUGCAUGUGCAUGUGUCUUCACGAAUUGAUCUCGAAUAAUUUUAAGCACUUCAUAUAUAUAUAUAAUGGUUAAUCGAUAAAAUUGUAAACUAUUAGAUGUAAGGCUAAAAUAUUUGAAAAAAAAUCAAGAAUUAAAUAGUAUGCAUUUUAUGAUUAAAUAUUUUUUAACAGUUUUGCAAAAACUGGGAUAAUUAAAAUAUUCAUCGGUAUUUUAAAAAAACCCCACAAAACACAACUUAUGCCAACCAGAACUUCUUGAGGGUUUCGAUUAUUCGUCUACUUUUUGAAAUGCUGGUUCUCAUCACGGCCUUCUUCGGACCUUCUCUUUGUCUGACAAAUUCUUGAGAUAUUGGGCUAGUGCCUUGUGUUUCGCCCGCACACGAAGCUUCAUUUCAUAGCCAAUGCCAUCGAUGUGCUUAAGAAUACUAAUGAAAGCCGGGUCCAGAUAUUUGCCACAGAACGCGCAUCAAUACGCCAUACGCUUAAGCACGUUGCACUGUCCAUUAUGCAAUUCUUCAAGGGUUUUCUGAGUGUGUGCAUCCAUCUCUCCUUCCAAAAUGUCUGCAUAAUCAUCAGAAUGAGGCAGCAAGUUUAAAUUAUGUAUGAUAUAAGCUGCACCAUUAUUACAGUACCUAAUAGUCCCUAAGUUACAUACUGUAGUGGCUAUACAUUAUUUUUAAAAUAAAUAUUUAUUAAUAUUGAAAAUUUAAGGAGAAAAAAUAAAUAUUAAAUCCAUGUGAAAGCAUAAAUCAUAUGUACUUUUGUUUAUAUUUUUGUUAAUUAACUUGGAGAACCUUUAGGAUGUCUAACUUUUAGCGUAAAUCUAAAUGCACUAAAUUGUGGAGUGGAGGAACCAUUAAUUUCUCAAAGAUUAAAUAAAUAAUGAUCAUUAUGUACUGAUGAUCAACAGUAUUUAGAGCUGGAUUACAUUAUGCCAAUUCAACAACAUAUUGAUUGUUAAUGAUUAACCUAACCUUAAACUUGAAGACAAAUCUAGGCUUAAAAAACUAAAACUACCAUAAUGGAAUUCAAGUCCAUGUCGUGCAUGUGCUGCAACUUGUGAUUGAUGAUGGAGUAGUGCACCUCCUCGUGACGUGAUGCUUCUUGGGGUAGGACAUCAAGUAGUCCAAAGCUUUCUCCUGGGUAUCCGGAUCCAUGCAAUGGACAACGUCGGUGGUUGGCCCCGCACGUCCACGAUCUGUCAUGACGGCGCCCAUGACAUGCCCCGCACGUCCAUGGCCAUGAUCUGUCACGACGACCAUAUGGGCGGCAGGCAGGCGGGUGUGUGAGCGGCGGCAAUGGUUUUAGAGCGUACCCUAGGGGGAGAGAUGCGGGGAGUAAUUGGUAGUUACCUACUAUAGCGGAAAUAUUGACUAACCAAUAAGGCAUGUGGGAUUGGUUGGACAAAAAAAUUGAUUGCAUUAUCUUUCGUCUGAUGAAAUAGAUAAAGCAAAAAAAUUCUGACAUAAUUUUUUGUAAAACUAUUUACACAAUUAAUUACACAUACUACUUAUCUAGUCUUUGGGCAUCUUCAAUGAUAACCCGCAAACUCGCUUCGGCAUCGUUCCGCGGACACUGAUGCGGGAGCCGGUCAUUCAUAGCUAGUUGCAUAUGUCCGGUUGUGUAUCAAAUGAAAAUCAACGAAAUUGAAGAAAUUUGAUUCAAACAAAGUCCCAUAAUAUGUGCCGAGUCAAUCCAAAAUAUCAGUUAGUUCUAACUAAAUGAUAUUUUGGUUUCAACAUGCCCUGGGAGUUGUGGAUGGUUGCGGGUGGUCUUAGGGUCGGCGUUGGAGUUUCCCUUACAUAAGGUUUCGUUAUAUUGAAUUAUUAUACAAUAAACCAAAAAGAAAGAGGAGCCCUUGCAUAUCCGCCGUGUACAUCUACAUGAUGCAAUACAAAGAUCGUGUCCGGGGUGGAUGGGCCGGGCAUUGAAAAUUUUGUACAUAAUCUCUAGUGCUCAAAACUUAUGAAACAUGAGAUCAAAUUGUCAUCAAGUGAUCUAAAAAAUUCCAACUGAGAAAGAUGUGUACGUAGAGGCAAUUAUAGUAUUUCUUGGAUCAAGACUUUGUGAUCAUCAUGUAGCCACGCCACAACCAACACGAUGGUCCCCGUGGCCAUCUAGACACACCACACCAUACCGUUGGCCGCCUAGACCCUCAAGCCAUGCAUUGUAGUCGUCAUGUCUCACAUGCAUUUGUGAUGCUAGCAAUGUCAUCAUGUGAUGUCAAAAUCUAACAAGCGUGUGACAAUUAUUUGAAAAACAACAACAAAAUACUAAAGCAUCAAUAUUUCAAUCCUAGGUUGCUAUAAGAGAAGCAUGGAUUUGCAUCUACCAAGCUGAUUGCAGCUCAAGGCUGCAAUUGCAUUGCACUUGUACGUUAGAUAUAGUUGAUUACCCACAAGUAUAGGGGGUCAAUCAUAGUCCUUUCGAUACGUAAGAGUGUUGAACCCAACGAGGAGCAGAAGGAAAUGAUAAGCGGUCUUUAGCAAGGUAUUCUCUGUAAGCAGUGAAAUAGUCGGUAACAAGUGGUUUGAUAGCAAGAUAAUUCGUGACGAGCAAGUAACAGUAAUGGUAAAUAAAGUGCAACAAGGUAGCCCAAUCCUUUUGAGGCAAAGUACAGGCCAAAAUGGUGUCUUAUGAUAAGCAAAGCGUUCUUGAGGGUACACGGGAAUUUCAUCAUGUCACUUUUACCAUGUUGGUUUGAUUCGUGUUCGCUACUUUGAUAAUUUGAUAUGUGGGUGGAUUGGUGCUUAGGUGCUGUUAUUACUUGAACAAACCUCCUACUUAUGAUUAACCUCCUCGCAAGCAUCUACAACUACGAGAAAAGUAUUAAGAUAAAAUCUAACCAUAGCAUUAAACUUUUGGAUCCAAAUCGGUCCCUUACGAAGUAGCGCAUAAACUAGGGUUUAAGCUUCUAUCACUCUAGCAACCCAUCAUCUAAUAACUACUCCACAAUGUAUUCCCUUAGGCCCAAGUAUGGUGAAGCGUCAUGUAGUCGAUGUUCACAUGACACCAAUAAGGGAAUCACAACAUACAUAUCAUCAAAAUAUUGAACACAUACCAAGUUCACAUGAUUACUUGCAACAUGACUUCUUCCAUGGCCUCAAGAACAAAAGUAACUACUCACAAAUGAUAAUUAUGCUCAAGAUCAGAGGGGUAUUAUAUUAAAUAGCAUAAUGGAUCUGAACAUAUAAUCUUCCACCAAAUAAAACAUAUAGUAAUCAACUACAAGAUGUAAUCAACACUACUAGUCACCCACAAGUACCGAUCUAAGGUUCCGGUACAAAGAUUGAACACAAGAGAUGAAAUAGGGUUUGAGAGGAGAUGGUGUUGUUGAAGAUGUUGAUGGAUAUUGCCCUCCCAAAGAUGCGAGAGUUGUUGGUGAUGGCGAUGACGAUGAUUUCCCCCUCCUAGAGGGAAGUUCCCCCGGCAGAAUCACUCCGCCGAAGGGCAAAAGUGCUCCUGCCCAAGUUCCGCCCCGAGAUGGCAGCGCCUCGCCCCGAAAGUCCUCCCCUUAUUUUUUCUAGGUCAAAAUGACUUGUAUACCAGAAGAUGGGCAUCGGAGGUGGGCCGAGGAGGGCACAACCACCAGAGCACGCCUGGGCUCCCUGGAGCGCCUAGGUGGGUUGUGCCCACCUGGUGCGCCCCCUCUGGUAGUUAUUUGCUCCAAUAAUCCAUAAAAAAUCUCUGUGAAGUUUCACCUUAUUUGGAGUUGUGCAGAAUAGGUGGCUCUGAUGUGCUUUUUCAGGUCCAGAAUUCCAGCUGCCGGUAUUCUCCCUCUUUGUGUAAACCUUGCAAAUUAUUAGAGAAAAGGCAUUAGAAUUACUCCCAAAAGCAUUAUUAUGCAUGAAAACAUUAUAAAUAACAGUAGGUAAACAUGAUGCAAAAUGGACGUAUCAACUCCCCCAAGCUUAGACCUCGCUUGUCCUCAAGCGAAAAUCGAAAUCGAAAAACAUGUCCACAUGCUUAGAGAGAGAGAGAGAGAGAGAGAGAGAGAGAGAGAGAGAGGUGUCGAUAAAAACAAAAUACGGACAUAGAAGCAUCAUGCAUAUUAUUAUAACAACAACUUACUUUAACAUAAACUUUACCAAAUAACUUUUGUCAUAUAACUUCUCAUGAAUAAGUAACAAUUCAUCACAACAUUGAAGUAUAAAGCAUAAACCUUAUUGAAAACCAACAAACUAUGUUCUCAGUCAACUUUGCAACUACAAUUCAUCAUAUUUUUAGGAAGGGUCACAUAUCGGAUCCUUUAGGCAAGUCCACAUACUCAACCAUCAUUUAAUCUUCUAUGAUUGCUAACACUCCCAGCAUACCCAUGAGCAAAAAGUUUCAACCAGACACAUAGAAAGAUAGGGGCUUGUAGUUUCGCCACCCAACAUAUUCACCUCAAGGGUGAUGUCAACAAUAAUAACUCAUGCACGCUCAUAUCCAACUGGAUAUGUGUGCCUAGAUCUUUCCUCACCACAUGAUGCUUGCCAAGAAAAAUAAAAAGGAAUAGGGGAUUACUUUGACUCUUACAUAAAAGUAAAUGCAUAAAAGUAAAAGAUAGGCCCUUCGCAGAGGGAAGCAGAGGUUGUCAUGCGCUUAUUCAUUUGUAUGCCAAAUCCCUUAAUGUAAAACAACGUCACAUUAUAUUGCCCCUUAUGAUAGCAACCUUUAUUAUGCAGUAUGUCACUUUUAUUCUUUGCCAUCACAAGUUCGUGCAACGCUCAAUUUUCUCCUACACUAAAUGAUCCAACACAUUUAGAAGCAAUUUUUAUUGCCUUAUUGCAUCGAUGUUAACUUACUUGAAGGAUCUUACUCAAUCCAUAGGUAGGUAUGGUGGACUCUCAAAAUAAGAUUUGGGUUAAGGGUUUUUGGAUGCACAAGUAGUAUCUCUACUUAGCGCAGAAUUUUUUGCUAGAAAAGAUAUUGGGCAAGCAUGAUAACCCACAAGUAUAGGGGAUCGCAACCGUUUUCAAGGGUAGAGUAUUCAACCCAAAUUUAUUGAUUCAACACAAGGGGAGCCAAAGAAUAUUCGCAACUAUUAGCAAUUGAGUUGUCAAUUCAACCACACCUGGAAAACUUAAUAUCUGCAGCAAAGUAUUUAGUCAUAAAGUAGUAUGGAAGUAACAGUAACGGUGGCAAAGGUAACAACAGCAGUUUUUUAGUAAUUGUAACAGUGACAACGGUAAAGUAACUAAGAAAAGAUCAAUGUUUGAAAAGCUCGUAGGCAUUGGAUCAGUGAUGGAUAAUUAUGUCGAACAUGAUUCCUCAUGCAACAGUUAUAACAUAGGGUGACACAGAACUAGCUCCAGUUCAUCAAUGUAAUGUAGGCAUGUAUUCCAAAUAUAGUCAUACGUGCUUAUGGAAAAGAACUAGCAUGACAUCUUUUGUCCUAUCCUCCCGUGGCAGUGGGGUCCUAUUGGAAACUAAGGGAUAUUAAGGCCUCCUUUUAAUAGAGUACCGGACCAAAGCAUUAACACUUAGUGAAUACAUGAACUCUUCAAACUACGUUCAUCACCGGGAGUGGUCCGGUUAUUGUCACUUCGGGGUUACCGGAUCAUAAAACAUAGUAGGUGACUAAUGACUUGCAAGAUAGAAUCAAGAACUCACAUAUAUUCAUGAAAACAUAAUAGGUUCAGAUCUGGAUUCAUGGCACUCGGGCCCUAGUGACAAGCAUUAAGCACAGCAAAGUCAUAGCAACAUCAAUCUCAGAACAUAGUGGAUACUAGGGAUCAAACCCUAACAAAACUAACUUGAUUACAUGAUAAAUCUCAUCCAACCCAUCACCAUCCAGCAAGCCUACGAUGCAAUUACUCACACACGGCGGUGAGCAUCAUGAAAAUUGUGAUGGAGGAAGGUUGAUGAUGAUGGCGGCGACGGAUUCCCCUCUCCGGAGCCCCAAACGGACUCCAGAUCAGCCCUCCCGAGAGAGUUUAGGGCUUGGUGCUACCUCUUGAGCACUGCGUUGGUUUUCCCUUGAAGAGGAAAGGGUGAUGCAGUAAAGCAGCGUAAGUAUUUCCCUCAGUUUUUGAGAACCAAGGUAUCAAUCCAGUAAGAGGCCACGCACGAGUCCCUCGCACCUACACAAACAAACAAGAAACUCGCAACUAACGCGAUAAAGGGGUUGUCAAUCCCUUCUCGGUCACUUACGAGAGUGAGAUCUGAUAAAGAUGAUAAGAUAAUAUUUUUGGUAUUUUUGUGAUAAAGAUGAAAAGUAAAUAAAAAAAUUAAACGGCAACGAAAAUAGCAAAGUAUUGAAGAUUAAUAUGAUGGAAAAUAGACCCGGGGGCCAUAGGUUUCACUAGUGGCUUCUCUCAAGAUAGCAUAACUAUUUGCGAUGGGUAAGCAAAUUACUGUCGAGCAAUUGAAAGAAUUGAGCAUAGUUAUGAGAAUAUCUAGGUAUGAUCAUGUAUAUAGGCAUCAUGUCCGAGACAAGUAGACCGAAACGAUUCUGCAUCUACUACUACUACUCCACACAUCGACCGCUGUCUAGCAUGCAUCUAGAGUAUUAAGUUCAUGAAGAACAGAGUAAUGCAUUAAGAAAGAUGACAUGAUGUAGAGGGAUAAACUCAUGCAAUAUGAUAUAAACCCCAUCUUUUUAUCCUCGAUAGCAACAAUACAAUACGUGCCUUACUGCCCCUACUGUCACUGGGAAAGGACACCGCAAGAUUGAACCCAAAGCUAAGCACUUCUCCCAUUGCAAGAAAGAUCAAUCUAGUAGGCCAAACCAAACUGAUAAUUCGAAGAGACUUGCAAAGAUAACCAAUCAUACAUAAAAGAAUUCAGAUUUGACUCAAAUAUUGUGCAUAGAUAAUCUUGAUCAUAAACCCACAAUUCAUGGAUCUCGACAAACACACCGCAAAAGAAGAUUACAUCAAAUAGAUCUCCACAAGAGAGGGGAGAACAUUGUAUUGAGAUCCAAAAAGAGAGAAGAAGUCAUCUAGCUAAUAACUAUGGACCCGAAGGUCUGAGGUAAACUACUCACACUUCAUCGGAGAGGCCUUGGAGAUGAUGUAGAGGCCCUCCGUGAUCAAUGCCCCCUCCGGCGGAGCUCCGGAAAAGGCCCCGAGAUGGGAUCUCUCAGGUACAGAAAGUUGCGGCGGUGGAAUUAGGUUUUUGGCUCUGUAUCUGGUAGUUUGGGGGUACGUAGGUAUAUAUAGGAGGAAGAAGUACGUCGGUGGAGCAACGAGGGGCCCACGAGGGUGGAGGGUGCGCCUGGGGGGGGGGGGGUAGGCGCGCCCCCCUACCUCGUGCCUUCCUCGUUUGUUCCUUUGCAUAGACUCCAAGUCCUCUGGAUAACGUUCGUUCCGAAAAUCACGUUCCCGAAGGUUUCAUUCCGUUUGGACUCCGUUUGAUAUUCUUUUUCUGUGAAAAUCUGAAAUAGGCAAAAAACAGCAAUUCUGGGCUGGGCCUCCGGUUAGUAGGUUAGUCCCAAAAGUAAUAUAAAAGUGUAUAAUAAAGCCCAAUAAUGUCCAAAACAGAAUAUAAUAUAGCAUGAAGCAAUCAAAAAUUAUAGAUACGUUGGAGACGUAUCAAGCAUCCCCAAGCUUAAUUCCUGCUCGUCCUCGAGUAGGUAAAUGAUAAAAAUAGAAUUUUUGAUGUGGAGUGCUACUUGGCAUGGUUUUUAAUGUAACCCUCUUAAUUGUGGUAUGAAUAUUCAGAUCUGAAGGAUUCAAGAUAAAAGUUUAGUAUUGAUAUAAAAAUAAUAAUACUUCAAGCAUACUAACUAAGCAAUUAUGUCUUCUCAAAAUAACAUGGCCAAAGAAAGUUCAUCCCUACAAAAUCAUAUGGUUUGGUUAUGCUCCAUAUUCGUCACACAAAAUACUCAAAUCAUGCACAACCCCGGUUUCAGCCAAGCAAUUGUUUCAUACUUUAGAAUUUUCAAACUCUUUCAACUUUCACGCAAUACAUGAGCGUGAGCCAUGGACACAGAACUAUAUGUGGAAUAGAAUAUGGUGGUUGUGGAGAAGAUAAAAAGGGAGAAGAUAGUCUCACAUCAACUAGGCGUAUCAACAGGCUAUGGAGAUGCCCAUUAAUAGAUAUCAAUGUGAGGAGUAGGGAUUGCCAUGCAACGGAUGCACUAGAGCUAUAAAUGUAUGAAAGCUCAACAAAAUGCAACUAAGUGGGUGUGCAUCCAACUUGCUUGCUCAUGAAGACCUAGGGCAUUUGAGGAAGCCCAUUGUAGGAAUAUACAAGCCAAGUUCUAUAAUGAAAAAUUCCCACUAGUAUAUGAAAGUGACAAAACAAGAGACUCUCUAUCAUGAAGAACUUGGUGCUACUUUGAAGCACAAGUGUGGUAAAAGGAUAGUAACAUUGUCCCUUCUCUCUUUUUCUCUCAUUUUUUGGGCCAUAUCUUUUUUUAUGGCCUUUCUCCUUUUUUUAUUUCCUCACUUGGGACAAUGCUCUAGAAAAUGAUGAUCAUCACACUUCUAUUUAUUUACAACUCAAUGAUUACAACUCAAUACUAGAACAAAGUAUGACCCUAUAUGCAUGCCUCCGGCGGUGUACCGGGAUGGGCAAUGAUUCAUGAGCGACAUGUAUGAAAGAAUUAUGAAUGGUGGCUUUGCCACAAAUACUAUGUCAACUACAUGAUCAUGCAAGGCAAUAUGACAAUGGUCUAUGAGGGUACGUGGACGACACUCUCCCCUCUCGUUGCUAUGCAUCACCAUGAUCUUGUGUGUGCGUAGGAAUUUUUUUUAAAUUACUACGUUCCCCAACAGUGGUAUCAAAGCCAGGUUUAUGCGUAGAUGUUGUAUGCACGAGUAGAACACAAGUGAGUUGUGGGCGAUACAAGUCAUACUCUUACCAGGAUGUCAUACUUUGGUUCGGUGGUAUUGUUGGAUGAAGCGGCCCGGACCGACAUUACAUGUACGCUUACGCGAGACUGGUUCUACCGACGUGCUUUGCACAUAGGUGGCUGGCGGGUGUCAGUUUCUCCAACUUUAGUUGAACCGAGUGUGACUACGCCCGGUCCUUGAGAAGGUUAAAACAUCACUAACUUGACGAACUAUCGUUGUGGUUUUGAUGCGUAGGUAAGAACGGUUCUUGCUCAGCCCGUAGCAGCCACAUAAAACUUGCAACAACAAAGUAGAGGACGUCUAACUUGUUUUUGCAGGGCAUGUUGUGAUGUGAUAUGGUCAAGACAUGAUACUAUAUUUUAUUGUAUGAGAUAAUCAUGUUUUGUAACGAAGUUAUCGGCAACUGGCAGGAGCCAUAUGGUUGUCGCUUUAUUGUAUGCAAUGCAAUCGCCCUGUAAUUGCUUUACUUUAUCACUAAGCGGUAGCGAUAGUCAUAGAAGCAAUAGUUGGCGAGACGACAACGAUUCUACGAUGGAGAUCAAGGUGUCGCGCCGGUGAUGAUGGUGAUCAUGACUGUGCUUCGGAGAUGGAGAUCACAAGCACAAGAUGAUGAUGGCCAUAUCAUAUCACUUAUAUUGAUUGCAUGUGAUCUUUAUCCUUUAUGCAUCUUAUUUUGCUUUGAUUAACGGUAGCAUUAUAAGAUGAUCUCUCACUAAAUUUCAAGGUAUAAGUGUUCUCCCUGAGUAUGCACCGUUGCGAAAGUUCUUCGUGCUGAGACACCACGUGAUGAUCGGGUGUGAUAAGCUCUACGUUCAAAUACAACGGGUGCAAGAAAGUUUUGCACACGCGGAAUACUCAGGUUAAACUUGACGAGCCUAGCAUAUGCAGAUAUGGCCUCGGAACACUAAGACCGAAAGGUCGAGCGUGAAUCAUAUAGUAGAUAUGAUCAACAUAAUGAUGUUCACCAUUGAAAACUACCCCAUCUCAUGUGAUGAUCGGACAUGGUUUAGUUGAUUUGGAUCACGUGAUCACUUAGAUGAUUAGAGGGAUGUCUAUCUAAGUGGGAGUUCUUAAGUAAUAUGAUUAAUUGAACUUUAAUUUAUCAUGAACUUAGUCCUGAUAGUAUUUUGCAAAUAAUGUUAUAGAUCAAUAGCUCACGUCACUACUAGGAAAAGGCCUACUAAUGGCGCACCAGUUUUUCCUACUAAUGGCGCACUACCGGUGCGCCAUUAGUAUCAUGCCACUAGUAUUUUUUCCUAAUGGCGCACCACUGGUGCGCCAUUAGUAUCUGGUAUACUAAUGGUGCACCACGCUGUGCGCCAUUAGUAUAGAACACCAUGCGCCAUUAGUAUGCCUCCCAGGGGGGCAUAUUUAACCAUGUGCUUUGGCAUACUAAUGGCGCACUGUGGGGUGAUGCGCCAUUAGUAUCCUUUGGCAUACUAAUGGCGCACUGUGUAGUGAUGCGCCAUUAGUAUCCUUUGGCAUACUAAUGGCGCUCUUUGAGGUGAUGCGCCAUUAGUAUGAAUAUUAGUUUUUUUUACUUUUAUGAUUUUUGAACAGGUUACAAAAUAUAUUAUUGGACAGAAUAUAGACAGCAGCACACAGCAACAACAGAUUCAUCGAAUACAAUAGAAGAUUAGUCUCCUAAUACAAUUCAUCAUAUUAGUCUCCGAAUUCAAAAGACCGAACAAAGAUAAAACAUUACAAGUCUUGAGACCGCGAGUAGUGAGUUUGUCUUCACAUUACAAGUCCAUAUCGAUCAUCUAAACUACCAUCACAUAGAAGAGAGCUGCGGUCAUCACGAUGAGCAUCAUCGCGAUGAAACUGGUCUUCAUCCGGUUCCUCCAACGCUCCCUCCUCUCUCCCGCUAGAUAGCGGGCGUAUCUAGAUUCCGCCUCCGCCCUAGUGGUGUACCCUUUGUAACUGUUACCGCUGAAACGGUGAACCUGUCUCCGACACUCCUCCCAGUCGUCGUAGACUCCGGGAACCUUACCCUUGUACACGACAUAUGACGGCAUCUCUAUGCACAAGCCAAAUAACAGACAAUACAUAAGCAAUAUAUAAGUAUGCAACAAAAGGAUCGGAAGAGAAAAUCAAGACAUUAAUAGCACGAUUCAUGGUCCUACUAAUAAACAGCAUCGAUUACAUCUAAGUUGAACAACUGUCCAAACCAAAGAGACAUACAAUUCAUUAAAGUUUAAUUACAACAUGAGCCAAUCAAUGUUUCAGAACUACACAUAGCAUCACUACUUUCAACUCGACUCAUGGGACCGGGGCGUGGAUGAAGCCGCCGUCUGUCGUGAUGGUCAUGAAAUCGCGGGCGUUGUUAGCCUGCAUUUGUAGCGUUAUGUCUAUCUCACUGUUGUACGGUUGAUAUCUGAGGUGGAACUACCCCGAGGUAUGAAGGACAUCUUGAUGGAUGAUGUCCGCAAACUCCGACUGGAUGCGAAAGAAUUCUUGUCUGAUGUCCGUGUCCUGGAUUGCCGACAAGCUCGCGGCCCAAUCUUUGAGAUUAUCUGGUAGCAGAAGGUGAUGAUGGUCCCUUACGAUCGCCCGCAUGUGAUGGAGGGCGUAGUAGGCAUCCUUCUGACCUCCAGGCGGCUGCUUGACGCAGGAGAAUGUCGUAUUGUGGCUGAACACGUGCCUGCCGUACCUACGAACUUGCCUGGUGAAGGUGCCACCAGAUUUGGCGUAGCCGGGGAGAACAUCAUCAAGAACUUUCUUGAUAUUUGUGUAGUCCAUCUUGGAGUCACGGUUCGGGUCGAAAUACGUGGCCAUGGAAUAUUUCGGGCUUAAGAGGAUGAGUGUGCAAUGUGUGUCACUGCACAGAACACGGAAUGUUAGAAAAAAAAGAACGGUCGAAAUCUAAGAAAUCAUAUGUUACGGGGCGGUUGAGGGGACGACUUACUCGGGAAAGUAAGGCACGAGGAAGUUAUCCUUAUCUGGGUUUGCCAGAAUGACGCCUUCGAGGUAAGAAGUCGCAACUUGCCGGUCCCCAGCGCUGCCCAAGAUCUUGGCACGCAUGUACAAGGGGUCGACUAUCACGAUGUCCGGGGUCUUGUCUCUAAUGAUCCGCAUCUCCAUACUCAGCGAAAACAGCCGAACGAAGGUGUAGUGCAGCGGAUGAAGGUUAAACAUAGAAAAGAUGUCAUCAAACUGUAGGACGAUCGUACCCCCGAUGGCGCCAUCCACAAAGCCCUUGCCCUUUGGCACCUUGGCCACAAAAACCGGGUAUGCCACAUCAUUUUCUCUGAGGCGCCGCUUCUCCAAAGAAAGAACACUGUCAUAUAGACUCCGCAUAGCACCGGUUGCAGCAUUGAGCAUAUUUGUCGGUAGCAUCGCCCUACCCGCCACAUGCACCCUACUCGAGAUAUCCUUAGGUGAAGGUGGCCUGUCCUGAGCACGGAUAGUACUCGGUGCCGGCUGGCUCGCACCGGCGCCCUUUUUAGUCUUUCGUUUCCGUCCCUUCUUCUUGAUCUGAUGUAAUGGGACCGAGUUCUGCUCACAGACCGCCUUCUUGAGCGUGUUGGGGCUGAUGAUAUUUCACACCUCAGCUAUCUGAGGCUCGGUGAAGGCGGCAGCUGGAGGCGUCUCCUGAGAACUGAACACCAGACGACGCCUAUUGCAACUGGGUUUCUCCGCCCUACCAGCUAGAUCGUGGUCGUCUUUUGUAGGGUUGGGUCCUUGAGAAGGAGGCCCGCAGAACUCGUCAUCGUACCCAUGUUCGGCAAAGUACUUAUCGACGUUGGCAAAUGUACCGUCGUCAUUGUCGUCGUCGUCCGGAUCCUGUGCCAUAUGCAUGUCCGGAUCCUGUUCCAUAGGGAUGUCCGGCAGGUCCGGUAGCAUUGCGGCGUUCUUGCCAUGGCUUGGCGCCGGCACGACUGGCGGUCUUGUCUGUGGGGUGGUGUCCCCCGCCCCCAAACGAAUCUGGCUCUUCGGCCAAAGCAGGGGCCAGCUUACGCAGGCGCUGAGGGUCAUCUCAUCUUCUUCGUUGGCCCCAGCGGGUCGAAUCAGAGGUAACAACUCGUCGCAGCCUGGCAGCACCCGAACCACUUCAACCCUAUACACUGUGGGUGGCAUCGGAUUACCGCGGAACACGGGGUUGCCCGGUUCAACGAUUCUGCCCUUGGCGACAUCGACCAACUCGCCGCCCACGAAGUGCAGGAGAGUGCAAGGAACGUCGGCGGUGCCCUACGAAAACAUGUAGGGCAUCAGGGAUGCCCAGUCAAAGGCAAGGAGAUGAAGUCAUCGGCCGAGAGGCUUAGUUACCGUGAUGCCGUCGAGCUCGGCUAAUGUCGAGGCACCGCCAACGGUGGGCGUGCAACUGACGGAGGGGCCGCUUGCUGGCGAGGUGCCGGCGGCGUACACCUGGGUGCAUUAAGCUCCAAUGCCCGUGCCGGCGCUGGAGACACGAAUACCGCCUCCGCCGGAGACACCAAUGGCGCCGCCAGAGACACCAAUGGCGCCGCCUGCGCAUUGUGCGAGUUGCUGGCCGUGAAGCUGGGAACCAGGGGAGGCCCCUGUUGGCCGCCCGCAAUCCACGUCGUCAGCCCACGAAUCAACGUAGGCACCAUGGCGUUGAGCUUCGUUCCCAGUUGUUGUUCCACUUGCUCUUGGACAAGCUUCGGAAUCCGCACCACUUGUGCCUUGAGUGCUUCAACCUCGCGCGACUGGCUUUCCGAGCUGGUCUUUUUCUCCUUUCGCCCACCAGCGGUAUAGUAUGACGACCAUUUUGUGGACAAGCCUUUGCCGGCCACAUGACCAGCUGACGUCGGCUUACUGAGCUUAUCCUUGUUUUUCAUUACGUUCAACGCCCUAUUCAAAGGGGUGUCGAAACGGGAGCUUUGAGACGACCCCGCGCUACUGCUUUCUUUGUCCUGCGGAAGGAACGUGAACCAUUUAGAAAUAUUGGGGAUUAAUUAGAAUGCAACCAUAUGGAGCUAAUUACGCGGGGGUGUAUUCCUUACCAGAACAAGCUCAAGCUCCCUGGUCUUCGAAUCCAUGGUAAGCUCCUUUGUUACCGGGUCCUCCUUGUACCAGGCCCUGAGAAAGUUCCUAGUAUGCUUGUCACUGUAUUUCUCGAAGCGGGGCGGUAGGCCUUGCUCGGCACGCUCCGUGUCCUCCUUGUCCCAUAUAGGCUCCGCCACUCUGUAACCGCCGGGACCGAGUUGGUGGACCCCUAAGUUCAACUGCCGCAUUUCUUUCCCCCACUGACUUGAUUCGGGGGUUGCGGGGCUCUCGGACUUGAUCUUGAACUCCUUAUAGUCAUCUUCGCUCAUCAAAGGAUAUUUCGCCUUGAUCUUGUCAUAACUAUCACCUUUUUCAAUCAUUGCCUUCACCGUGCUUCUCUAAGUAGACAGGGCCGUGCUCAUCCUCGUGAGGGCGGCACUAUUCACUUUAUUCCCUGAGAGGCGUGUGUUUGCAAACUCAGCGGGGAACUUGUAUGGUUCAUGCAGCUUCGUGAAGAGGAGGCUGCGCAAAUUCCCUCGGUCCUUAUGCCUUAGGUUCUCGGUGUUGAUCGAGACGGUGCUCCAGAGAAUGCACCCGAGCUGAACCGAGUACCCCUUGACUACUUGUUUGGGUGCCGUCGGAUGCCCGUCGGAGUUCACUUCAGUAAAUUCCUCCUUGACGGUGCCGAGCACGCUCGGUCGCCGGUCCUUCCGUUGCCUCUUCGGUUGGCUGCCAUCUGUGCAUGCGCCGCCAUCAUCAGUGGUGGCAUCCUCGGCGGCGCCAUCAGUGGUGUCAUCCCCGACGCCACCAGUGGUUGUGUAGUCAGGAUCGGUGUCUUCCGCGGCGUCCUCAUAGCGGUGAGGUUCUUCCUCCAACUCCUGGGACAGCUCCCAGAAUUGCUUGCCGCCCGAACCGCCGGGCUCAUCGUUGUGGGCCAUGUUUCGCUCUAAAUAGGAAAAAAGUUUGGUCAAAAAGUUGGUUAUUGUCAAGGAACAAGAUCAUGGUCUCAUCAUUUAGGGUUUGUCGACACCGAGGCAUCCUAAAAGCUAAGCUUUUAUCAUUUAGGGUUUGUUGACGCCGAGGCACCCUAAAAGCCUAAGCGUACAUCAUUUAGGUUCUCAUCGACACCGAGGCACCCUAUAGAAGCCAAGUUAAGUUUUCAUCAUUUAGGGUUUAUCGAUGCCGAGGCACCCUAGGUUGGGCCUAAUCACUUGGCACUAAUCACUUGGCUCUAUUGCCACCUAUGUUGGGUUUAUCAUCUAGGGUUUAUCGAUGCUAAGGAGAAUUCUAAGUUGGGCCUAAUCACUUGGCUCUAUUGCCACCUAUGGUUUAAUGCAGCAAGAAUGGCAGGGCAGUUGAUCCUACUUAACUAAGUACUAAGAUACCCCGGCCCAUGCAUUAGUCGCAAGUACCCCAUAUGUCCUAUUUUAGCAAAGUCAUGCUAAAAUUCACGGAAAAUUUCAGGAUGACCUAUGCUGAAAAUAGGACAUAUGGAGUACCCGAAAUUGCCGGAACAGAAGUUAAUCGACAUUCCGGCAAACUCAAGGGCCUCUCGGGGUACCUGCAAAUUCAUCACGACACAAUGGUCGGAGACAAAACCCAGCAACUUUACAAGUCUUUCACAGAUUUGUUUGCAAGUUUUGAUAUGUAAUAAAGAUGAGCCUCCAAUGCUGAUUUGUUUGCCUCAAGACAAGAUGAACCUCUAAUGCAACAAGUAAUAAAAUAUUUGCAAGUUCUGAUAUGUUUGCAAGAUGAACCUCCAAUGCAACAGUCUUAGACAUUAGGACACUACAAUGAUCUACAACCUUAUGUAAAGUGCCAACUCCACAGAUUUCUACAACCUUAGCAGCAAGUACAGCAGCAGCAAGAAGAAACCAGCAGCAGCAGAUAACAACACAACAGCAGCAGAAUAACAACAGUAGCAGUAGCAAGAAUAAGAAGCAUGACUACAACCAGAAUGUUAACCAAGGAAGCUUUAACAGAAUUUUCUUGCAGCAGCAGUAGCUUGCAAUUUUGCUUGCUUGCACUGCUUGAGUAGUCCCCCCUACAGACUCUAUAGCAAGUACAGUAGUGUCCUCUCUCCCUCUCUUCUUUUUCAGUACAGUAGGAGCAUUCUCUUAUCCGCUUUAACUGUAACUUUGACUGAAACAUUUUUCUAUUAAUUAAAAUAAAUUCAAAACUUUUCCUUUAAUUAACUAAAACAUUUUUUGUUAAUAAAAUAAACUGAAGCCUAACCAAGCCCAUUUGCAAUAGCAUGUAGUAUUUGCAAUUCCAUGCCCAUUUAAGUUAAUUUAAUUAUGACCUAACCAAGCUGUUGAAUAUCUGCUUCUGCAUCCCAUUUUCAAAAACUGCCUUAAGUGAAAGGAGUAACUCAUGCCUUGAGUACAUGGGUCAAAUACUAGUACAAAAAAAACUCCUUUUAUCUUUGGAGUCAAAAUUGAGACCAUAUGGAUAGCAGAGGAAAAUGAGACUUUGUCUCGUGGCUACAAGUGGCAGCAGCUAGCAAGCACAUUUUUAUUACUAUUUAUCUCAGGAAAGAAUAAUAAGCAAUACUUAAGUGCAGCUUUAGGAUUGGUGUGAGAUUAGUCAUAGAAUAGUGGUGGCCGUUGAUACUUGUUGUGCUUCAUAUGCAAAUGGUGGUAGAUAUGCUAGUUUUAUUCCCUGUCACGAACUUGUAUGUUUAGUAUCUCAUAUAUGAUCGGUUCUCCUGGCAUACUUGUCAUGAUAUUAACUUGAUUAAACUUGUUAAAAAAUCUAAAAAAACUCAGUCAAAACAUUAAAAAAAUCCAAGAUUCUGAAAACCGGGCCUUUUUUUCCUCGCCCUCACUGAUCAUUUGGGUGAGUAUCUAUCACUAGGUGUAAGUAAAAAAUGGAAGACUUUAACCCCUCAUUUUCCACCUACAUUGCAGAUAUGAACAAAUAUUGUCAGGAAUUUGCAUGGUUGUACUUCAUCCAACAAUGAUCUUGCACAAUUAUUGCUGGUACAGUAACAUGGUUGAGACCAUAGCAGUCUAUCUCCUCAAGUGUUUCAUGGUCCAAAAAUAAAAUAAAACUGAGUACUAUGAUUGUUUUCACUUUUCAUGUGCAAACCUAAAACUAAUAACCCUGUUGUGGUGGCAAACUUCUGCAGUGCAGUUUGCAAAUCUUAAUAAAUCCGAAGUUUGAUACAAUAACACCACGACCACCACUUGGCAUGAGUGGUAAGCUAUAUCAGAAACACCAUGACCACUUGCAAAAGCAGCACCGACAGUAGUAGGAAAACAGAAGCAACAGUAGUAGCCAGUGGAAGGCAGCAGAAGUAGCACACAGCCAGCAGCAGAGCACCGGUGAGCGAGCGCGAGGCACACAGGCACAUCAGGCAGCGGGAGGCUACCACAACAAGCAGGGCUGCGCAAGCGCGCGUGUGGGCACGGCCAGGGGCGUCCAACGAGUAAGGCAGGGUGCGCGGGACACAGGCGCGGGGGGUGGUGGUGAGAACGAGCUCGGGCGGAGGCGGCGCACAACGUCUACGGCGAUGGAAUCAAAGGGGAAACAGGGGGAAUCGAUGUGGUGCUCACCGGGGAGCACAAGGGUGGCUCGGCGAUGGCUUAGGAGCAGCAGAGGCGGUGGAUCGACGACGGAGGCGGUGGUGCCCGAGGAAGAAGAAGGCGUUGAUCCCGUCGAUGCAGGGGCUCCCGGUUGCAAUUGGUGGAUGUAGUCGAAGGAGAUGAGGGCCUGCGUGCGGUCCAGAAGUGCGUCCUCCGCGGCCUGCUGCUCCGCGUAGACCGCCUCCGUCUCCUCCUCCUACUCGUCCUCCUCGGGGCGCGGGGUCGCGGGGGCGGCGGCGCGGGGGAGCUGCAUUGGUGGGGGCGUGGGGGCGACGGCGCGGGGGAGCUGCAGUAGUGGGGGCGCGGGGGCGGCGGGGGUCGGGGCAGCGGGGUGGAGAAGAAGGCAGGGAAGGAGAGGCGGCGGCUUCGCUGACGGCGUGCGGCGGACGGAGGGGGCGGAGCAAGGCGGGGAGGUGGCGUACGGUUGGUGCGGGUUAGGUCGAGGGGGGAUCUGGCGAGGGAGGGAGAGAGGCCAGAGGGAAAUAGGUGGAGUGGGGGAGGGUUAGCAAUGGCGCACCUCCCCCUAGUGCGCCAUAAGUACGACGACGGCAAUGGCGCACCUCCCCCGGUGCGCCAUUAGUAAAAAAAAUUUGAUUACAGUUCGAGCACUCAGAUUAUAUUCCACCUAACCGUAUGCCCAUCAGAACACACACACUAGCUCGACUGGUCAGCACGCAACACACACAUUGGGAGGUCCUAGGUUCGAUUCCCAGGCUCCCCAAUUUUUGUUUUUAUGCAUUUUUUUCUUUGCACAUAUCUUUUUAUGCAUGCAUCCAAAUAUAACAUGUCACAUAUGCUAGAUGCUCAGAAUUUCAUGUAGAAAAAUAAUAUGCAGUUUGUUGCCAUGUUAACAACAUUUAAAAUGAUGUUUGAUAGUUAUUUGUGUUUAAAUAUGUUCAAACCUAUUUAAAUCAUAACUAAAUAUCCAUAGCUCCAAAUUUGACAAACUUUAUAUGCUUUUGGGAGUAACAUAUAACCAAGCACAGCUAGUCUUUUUUUGGGAUUUUUAGUUGCAUUCAUUUGUGAAUUGGUAAAACAUUUAUGAGUAUGAAAAAAUAUCAUCAAAAAGUGGGGGAGGNNNNNNNNNNNNNNNNNNNNNNNNNNNNNNNNNNNNNNNNNNNNNNNNNNNNNNNNNNNNNNNNNNNNNNNNNNNNNNNNNNNNNNNNNNNNNNNNNNNNNNNNNNNNNNNNNNNNNNNNNNNNNNNNNNNNNNNNNNNNNNNNNNNNNNNNNNNNNNNNNNNNNNNNNNNNNNNNNNNNNNNNNNNNNNNNNNNNNNNNNNNNNNNNNNNNNNNNNNNNNNNNNNNGAGGGUGCGGGGUGUCGGCGGCGGCGGUGGAGCGGGCCGGGGGAGGGUGAGCGGGGGGAGGGUGCGGGGGGUGCUCGGCAACAAGGGGGAUCCGGAGAGGGGGGUAGCUAUCGAGAGGGAGGGGGAUCAAGAUCGAGUGUCCUCAUGAAUAUUCAAUAUUUUUUCAUAUUGAAUAUGAAAAAAUAUCAUCAAAUUUUAAAAAAUAUUCAUGAAUUCAAAAAGUGCCCAUGAAAUUAAAAAUAUUCAUGAUAUCAAAAAGUGCCCGAGAAAUGAGGACUACGAUUUAAAUACAAUCGAUCUUAGCUAGCUAUCUGUUCACAAUCUUCUUGCCCUUCUUUUUUGCAAAUGGAGUUCUUCUAUGGAACGGACGUCCUUUGGGUAGGGUGGUCCUGCUUCUUCUUGUGGUGUAUGCUGCUACUUCAUCGUCGUCGUCAUGUUCGAUCUUCGGGUCGCCGUACUUGUUGAAGUCUUGCUCAUUGGCUACUCCAUCCAUUCCGAUGAUCUUCCUUUUGCCUCUCCUCACGACAACACGACUGGGCUUUGGCGGGUCGGUAAUGAAGAAGCAUUGGUCCACUUGGGAAGCCAGUACCCAUGGCUCAUUUUUCACGGUGACGUUUGUGCCCGCGGUCUUGGAUUUGGCUUCGGGUAUAACCAUGCUGGUGAAAUACCGGUCUUCUUUUAUGACGUUCUUGGCCCAUCUGACACGGAACAUCGGGACCUUCUCUCCAGCGUAGCUCAGCUCCCAUAUCUCCUCGAUCCUUCCGUAGUAUAUGUCCUUGUCGUUACCGGUGUAGGAUUCCAUCGUUACCCCGGAGUUCUGAUAACCAUUUCUUCAUGUCCUUGUCCUCGGUGUAGAAUGUGUAGCCGUUGAUAUUGUACGCCUCAUAGGUCAUCAGGUUGUGCUCGGCGCCCUGUGACAAGGCGAAUAUGAGUCAUUCUUCCGCGGAAGAAUCCUCAUGUAAAGGGUAUGACAGAAGCUUCUGCUUGAACCAAUGCGUGAAACAUGAGUUGUGCUCUUUGAUUAUAUCUCCGUCCGUCCUCUGUUGGCCUCAGUCAUUGUACGUCUUCUCAAUAAAGGUUUUGUGCUCUACCACCCAAGGAUCGACCACGUCUAUGUGUUGUAGCACGACUAGGUUUGCUCUUUCAAAGUCGGCGAGUCGACCCUCGAAGUCGACAUGCAUUUCGCGGCGACCCUCACGGUGACACCAUCCAGCGAGCUACCGAGGUGCCUGUUGACGGGCAGACCAACGGGGUUCUUGAUGCCUAGAUAAUUCGUGCAGUAGGAGAUGCACUCUUCGGCCAAAAAGCCCCUGGCUAUGCUUCCCUCUGAACGUGACAUGUUGCGAACGUAUCCUUUGAUGACACCAUUCAUCCUUUCGAACGGCAUCAUGCUGUGCAGGAACGUCGGCCCGAGUUGGAUGAUAUCCUCCACGAUAUGGACCAGUAGAUGCACCAUAACGUCGAAGAAUGCGGGCGGGAAGUACAUCUCAAGCUCGCAUAGUAUCACCACGAUCUCUUCCUGUAGCCUUCUGAGUUGCCUCACGCCAACCGACUUCCGAGAGAUGACGUCGAAAAAGUUGCAUCGGCCAAAUAGCGUUUCACGAACGUGCGCGUCCAUGAUCCCACGGAUUGCAACUGGAAGUAUCUGCGUCAUCAGCACGUGACAGUCGUGAGACUUCAUCCCGCUGAACUUCUACUUUGCUGGGUCUAGGUAUCUGCUUAUCUUCCCCGCGUAACCGUAAGGAAGUUUUACUCCUAUGAGGCAGGUGAAAAACUGCUUUAUCUCCUCCUAACUUGGAGUGAAGCACGCGGGAGGGUAGGCAUUUCCGGUCUUCUUGGCCUUUUUGCCUUUGCGACGACUUUCUGUGUCCUGCUUCGCCUCAUCAUCAUCAUCAUCAUCAUCAUCAUUAGCGUGAAGCUCCUGCCUGAUGCCCAUUGAUUUCAAGUCUGCCCUUGCUUUCAGCCCAUGUUUGGUCCUCUCUGGCAUGUUGAGCAAGGUACCAAGCAGACUUUUGCACACGUUCUUCGUGAUAUGCAUGGCAUCAAGGCUGUGAGGCACACGGUGGAUCUUCUAGUACGGCAAGUCCCAGAAAACAGACCUCGUUUUCCAUACCUUCAGCAGCGACUCUGGCGCCUUUCGCUUCUUUCCCGGCUCUGGCGCCUUUUGCUUCUUUCCCGGUAGUGGGCAAUCUUCCAAUUUUUCAACAGCUCGUCUAUUUCCUCGCCGCUCCUCGUACGCGGGCGCCUUCGGGGUUCGGUUUCACCAUCGAACAGAUCCUUGCGUUUCCUCCACGGGUCAUCGUCACGAAGCCACCUUCGAUGUCCCAUGAACACGGUUUUCAAAGACCCGAGAUCUCUAUCUAGCUGGCGAUACGUUGUGUCAUCCAUGCACCUGACGCAUCUAGAAAAUCCAUGGACCACCUGCCCCGCGAGAUAUCCGUAACCGAGAUAGUCGUGCACCAUCGUGAGCAGUGCGGCUCUCAUAGGGAAAUAUUCUUUCUCUGCGGCGUCCCACGUAUUGGCUGGCGUUUUCCACAGCGUGUCUAGCUCCUCUUUCAGCAGCCCCAGAUACAGAUUGAUGUCGUUCCCUGGUUGUUUCGGCCCUUCAAUUAGCAUACUCAUGUGAAUGUACUUCCUCUUCAUGCACAACCAGGGGGGAAGGUUGUACAUCCACACAAACAAAGGCCAGGUGCUAUGUGUGCUUCUCUGGUUGCCAAACGGAUUGACUCCAUCGGUGCUCGCGCCCAGCACGAUGUUCCUUGGAUCCUUCCCAAAUUCUGGGUGUUCGAAGUUCAACGCUUGCCACUGGCUCCCAUCCUUAGGGUGACUCAGCAUCUUGUCUUUUUUAUUUAUCUCCGGAUCAUUUGCGUCAUCUUCUUGCUUCUUCUCCUCCCUAUCCGCGUGCCAAUGCAGGAGCUUUGCUACCUUAGGGUCCGCGAAAUACCGCUGCAAACGAGGAGUGAUCGGAAAGUACCACACCACUUUUCGAGGAGCUUUCUUCCUCUUCUUGUAUCGAGUAACGCUGCACACCGUACAUAUGGUAGACUCCGCGUGCUCAUCCUGAUAAAUGAUGCAAUUGUUCAUGCACACAUGGUAUUUCACGUGCGGUAAAUCCAGAGGACACACGAUUUUCUUCGCCUCCUCGAAACUGGUAGGGCACUUGUUCCCCUUGGGAAGACAUUCGUGCUAGAAUGACAUGUUCUCGUCGAAGCAUGCGUCGGUCAUUUUGUGUUUUACCUUCAUCUCCAGAGCCAUGAGCGUUACUUUCAGGCGGGUAUCCUCGGGCCUGCAUCCUUCAUACAAUGGAGUAACCACGUCUAUCUCCAGUUGAUCUAGCUUGGCUUUCUCUCGGGCGGCAGCUCUUGCGUUAUCCAUCUGCUUGAGAAGCAGCUCUUGAAUAUGAGGGUCCUGCACCCAGCCCAUCGAUGGUCCAUCUCGUCUGCUCUGCCAGCAUCUUCAUCUUCAUGAUCAUGCCCUUCGUCUGCUCCGACAUCGUCCUCAUCAUCAUGUCUGACAUCUUCUACAUGAUGACUGUGUACAGCAUCACCGUCGUGAUCAUGUCUUGGAGAUUCUUUGUCUUCUCGCCCGCCCGAGCCGCGGUGGUUGUCUUGCUGCCCUUCCUCAUUUCUUGCCCGGCCCCCAUGGACGACUUCAUAGUCAUCUUCAUCACCUUGCCACCGAUAGCCAUCCAUGAAACCAUGCAAGAGCAGGUGGUCCCGCACCUGCCCGGAAUCCGGGUCCGCAAUAAGGCUCUUCAGCUUGCAUCUUCGACACGGACAUCUUAUCUCCGUCUCGUUCUUUUGAAGCAUCUCGGCCUUCGCGGAGCUCAAAAACCUACUCACGAUGCCUUCGGUUAUCGUGCGGACCAUGGUCGCCUGCAGGGUAGAGCAAGACGAUAUUUUAGAACCAAGAAAAAAUUUGGCAUGACUUUCCCUAAAAAUAGGACCAAAAAGAAUGCAUAGUGCCAAAAUUCUCGCCGAAACGGAAAUGAAUCAACAUUCCGGCAAAAUAUUGGCAACUAUCGCAUUUCAAAUACCGGUACCUGCAAACACAAACAUAUAUGCAACACCACAAACAUACAUAGAUCUAGCUAGGCCACAAAAAGUGCAUGUGCACGUUGUUGGAGGGAGCAAGGGAGAAAAAAAGUAGAUCUACAACAUGAAGAUAGCUUUCCCCUUACUUACCUAUCAAAAAAAGGUAAUUUCACCACUUAAUUUUGAUGAAUCUAUGGUGCAAAUGAGGUGAGGAGGAGGAGGCAGCUGACAAGCUUGGAGAAGGAGGUGGAGGGAAUGAAGUGGGGAAAGUGAGUGUGUAGGUGUGGCUGUCCAAAAUAUCUAGCUGGUCCCAGGUUACUAAUGGCGCACCACUCAGCCAUGCGCCAUUAGUAACCCAACAUACUAAUGGCGCACCUGCUGGCCGUGCGCCAUUAGUAGUUUUGCAAAAAAAAUAAAAAGAAAUAUAUAUAUACUAAUGGCGCACCGUGGCAUACUGCGCCAUUACUAGUUUAAACUAGUAAUGGCGCACUGUACCACGGUGCGCCAUUAGUAGUUUUGCAAAAAAAGAAUAAAAAAAUACAGUAGUGGCGCACUCUAUGGCUGGUGCUCCAUUACUAGUUAGAACUAGUAAUGGCGCACUUUGCCUGGAUGCGCCAUUAGUAUGUUUGGAAAAAUGAAAAAAAAUUGUUACUAGUGGCGCACCUUGUGUCUGGUGCGCCAUUAGUGUCUUCCACACUAAUCGCGCAUCAGCACAUGGUGCGCCAUUAGUAUAUAGUAGUGGCGCACCACUUCUCUAGUGCUCCAUUAGUGUCAAUUUCAUCUAUAGCCCUUUUCCUAGUAGUGUGUUGUUGCUUCCCUAUGUUUUAUAUGUGUUCCUAGAGAAAAAUAAGUUGAAAGAUGUUAGUAGCAAAGAUGCGGACUAGCUCCAUGAUAUGAGGAUUAUCCUCAUUGCUGCACAGAAGUAUUAUGUCCUUGAUGCACGGCUAGGUGAAAGAACUAUUGCAGGAGGAGAUACAGACGUUAUGAACAUUUUGACAAAAAGCUCGGUAUGAUGACUACUUGAUAGUUUACUGCACCAUGCUUUACGGCUUAGAACCGGGACUUCAAAAUUGUUUUGAACGUCAUAGAGCAUAUAAGAUGUUCCAAGAGUUGAAAUUGGUUUUUCAUACUCAUGCCCGUGUUGAGAGGUAUGAGACGUCUGAUAGUACUCUGCCUACAAGAUGGAGGAGAAUAGCUCAACCAGUGAGCAUGUGCUUAGAUUGUCUGGGUACUACAAUUACUUGAAUCAAGUGGGAGUUAAUCUUCCAGAUAAGAUAGUGAUUGACAGAAUUCUCUAGUCACUAUCACCAAGUUAUUAGAACUUCGUGAUGAACUAUAAUGUGCAAGGGAUAACAGAAACGAUUCCCAAGCUCUUUGCGAUGCUGAAAUCGGCGAAGGUAGAAAUCAAGAAAAGGCAUCAAGUGUUGAUGGUUGACAAGACCACUAGUUUCAAGAAAAAGGGCAAAAGGAAGAAGGGGAACUUCAAGAAGAACGACAAGCAAGUUGCUGAUCAAGUGAAGAAGCCCAAGUCUAGACCUAAGCCUGAGACUAAGUGCUUCUACUGCAAAGGGACUGGUCACUGGAAGCGGAACUGCCCCAAAUACUUGGCGGAUAAGAAGGAUGGCAAAGUGAACAGAGGUAUAUUUGAUAUACAGAUUAUUGAUGUGUACUAUACUAGUGUUCAUAGCAACCCCUGGGUAUUUGAUACCGGUUCAGUUGCUAAGAUUAGUAACUCGAAACGGGAGUUGCAGAAUGAAUUGAGACUAGUUAAGGGUGAAGUGACGAUGUGUGUUGGAAGUGGUUCCAAGAUUGAUAUGAUCAUCAUUGCACACUCCCUAUACUUUCGGGAUUAGUGUUGAAACCUAAAUAAAUGUUAUUUGGUGUUUACAUUGAGCAUGAAUAUGAUUUGAUCAUGUUUAUUGCAACACGGUUAUUCAUUUAAAGUCAGAGAAUAAUUGUUAUUCUGUUUACAUGAAUAAAACCUUCAAUGGUCAUACACCCAAGAAAAAUAGUUUGUUGGAUCUCGAUCCUAGUGAUACACAUAUUCAUAAUAUUUAAGCCAAAAGAUGCAAAGUUAAUAAUGAUAGUGCAACAUAUUUGUGGCACUACUGUUUAGGUCAUAUUGUUGUAAAGCGCAUGAAGAAACUCCAUGCUGAUGGACUUUUGGAAUCACUUGAUUAUGAAUCAUAUGAUACUUCUGAACCAUGCCUCAUGGGCAAGAUGACUAGAACACCGUUCUCCGAAACAAUGGAGCGAGCAACUGACUUAUUGGAAAUAAUACGUACCAAUGUAUGCGGUCCGAUGAGUGUUAAGGCUCGCGGCGGGUAUCGUUAUUUUCUGACCUUGACAGAUGAUUUGAGCAGAUAUGGGUAUAUCUACUUGAUGAAACAUAAGUCUGAAACAUUUGAAAAGUUCAAAGAAUUUCGGAUUGAAGUGGAGAAUCAUCAUAACAAGAAAAUAAAUGUUUCUAUGAUAUGAUCGCAGAGGUAAAAUAUUUUAGUUAACGAGUUUGGCCUUCAAUUAAAACAAUGUGAAAUAGUUUCACUACUCACGCCACCUGGAACACCAUAGUGUAAUGGUGUGUCCGAACGUCAUAACCGUACUUUAUUAGAUAUGGUGCGAUCUAUGAUGUCUCUUACCGAUCUACCACUAUCGUUUUGGGGUUAUGCAUUAGAGACAGCUACAUUCACGUUAAAUAGGGCACCAUCUAAAUCCGUUGAGAUGACGCCUUAUGAACUAUGGUUUGGUAAGAAACCAAAGUUGUCGUUUCUUAAAGUUUGGGGCUGCGAUGCUUAUGUGAAAAUGUUUCAACCUGAUCAGCUCGAACCCAAAUCAGAGAAUUGUGUCUUCAUAGGAUACCCAAAGGAGACUGUUGGGUACACCUUCUAUCACAUAUCCGAAGGCAAGACAUUUGUUGCUAAGAAUGGAUCCUUUCUAGAGAAGGAGUUUCUCUUGAAAGAAGUGAGUGGGAGGAAAGUAGAAUUUGAUGAGGUAACUGUACCUGCUCCCUUAUUGGAAAGUAGUUCAUCACAGAAAUCUGUUCCCGCGAUUCCUACACCAAUUAGUGAGGAAGCUAAUGAUGAUGAUCAUAUAACUUCAGAUCAUGUUACUACCAAACCUCGUAGGUCAACCAGAGUAAGAUCCGCACCAGAGUGGUACGGUAAUCCUGUUUUGGAGGUCAUGUUACUUGACCAUGACGAACCUACGAACUAUGAGGAAGCGAUGAUGAGCCCAGAUUCUUCGAAAUGGCUUGAGGCGAUGAAAUCUGAGAUGGGAUCCAUGUAUAAGAACAAAGUGUGGACUUUGGUUGACUUGCCCGAUGAUCGGCAAGCCAUUGAGAAUAAAUGGAUCUUCAAGAGGAAGACAGACGCUGAUAGUAGUGUUACUAUCUACAAAGCUAGACUUGUCGAAAAAGGUUUUUGACAAAGUUCAAGGUGUUGACUACGAUGAGAUUUUCUCACUUGCAGCGAUGCUUAAGUCUGUGCGAAUCAUGUUAGCAAAUUGCCACAUUUUAUGAAAUCUGGCAAUGUCAAAACUACCUUAAUGGAUUUCUUAAAGAAGAGUUGUAUAUGAUGCACCAGAAUGUUUUGUCAAUCCUAAAGGUACUAACAAAAUGUGCAAGCUCCAGCAAUCCAUCUAUGGACUGGUGCAAGCAUCUCGGAGUUGGAAUAUACGCUUUGAUGAGUGGAUCAAAGCAUAUAGUUUUAUACAUAAUUGCGGUGAAGCCUGUAUUUACAAGAAAGUGAGUGGGAGCACUACAACAUUUCUGAUAAGUAUAUGUGAAUGACAUAUUGUUGAUCGGAAAUAAUGUAGAAUUUUCUGGAAAGCAUAAAGGAGUAUUUGAAAGGAGUUUUUUCAAAGAAAGACCUCAGUGAAGCUGCUUACAUAUUGAGCAUCAAGAUCUAUAGAGGUAGAUCAAGACGCUUGAUAAGUUUUUUCAAUGAGUACAUACCUUGACAAGGUUAUGAAGUAGUUCAAAAUGAAACAGUCAAAGAAAGAGUUCUUGCCUGUGUUGCAAGGUGUGAAAUUGAGUAAGACUCAAAGCCCGACCACGGCAGAAGAUAGAAAAAGAAUGAAAAACAUUCCCUAUGCCUCAACCAUAGGUUCUAUAAAGUAUGCCAUGCUAUGUACCAGAACUAUUGUAUACCCCGCCCUGAGUUUGGCAAGGGAGUACAAUAGUGAUCUAGUAGUAGAUCACUGGACAUUGGUCAAAAUUAUCCUUAGAGGUCUAAGGAAAUAUUUCUCGGUUAUGGAGGUGAUAAAGAGUUCGUCGUAAAGAGUUAUGUCGAUGCAAGCUUUGACACCGAUCUGGAUGACUCUGAGUCUCAAUCUGGAUACAUAUUGAAAGUGGGAGCAUUUAGCUAGAGUAUAUAUCUCCGUGCAGAGCAUUGUAGACAUAGAAUAUUUGCAAAAUACAUACGGCUCUGAAUGUGGCAGACCCGUUGACUAAACAUCUCUCACAAGCAAAACAUGAUCACACCUUAGUACUCUGUGGGUGUUAGCCACAUAGCAAUGUGAACUAGAUUAUUGACUCUAGUAAACCCUUUGGGUAUUGGUCACAUGACGAUGUGAACAAUGGGUGUUAAUCACAUGGUGAUGUGAACUAUUGGUGUUAAAUCACAUGGCGAUGUGAACUAGAUUAUUGACUCUAGUCCAAGUGGGAGACUGAAGGAAAUAUGCCCUAGAGGCAAUAAUAAAGUUAUCAUUUAUUUCCUUAUUUCAUGAUAAAUUGUUUAUUAUUCAUGCUAGAAUUGUAUUAACCGGAAACUUAGUACACUUGUGAAUACAUAGACAAACAUAGUGUCACUAGUAUGCCUCUACUUGACUAGCUCGUUGAAUCAAAGAUGGUUAUGUUUCCUAACCAUAGACAUGAGUUGUCAUUUGAUUAACGAGAUCACAUCAUUAGAGAAUGAUGUGAUUGACUUGACCCAUUCCGUUAGCUUAGCACUUGAUCGUUUAGUAUGUUGCUAUUGCUUUCUUCAUGACUUAUACAUGUUCCUAUGACUAUGAGAUUAAGCAACUCCCAUUUACCAGAGGAACACUUUGUGUGCCACCAAACGUCACAACGUAACUGGGUGAUUAUAAAGGUGUUGUACAGGUGUCUCCGAAGGUACUUGUUGAGCUGGCGUAUUUCGAGAUUAGGAUUUGUCACUCCGAUUGUCGGAGAGGUAUUUCUGGGCCCACUCGGUAAUACACAUCACUAUAAGCCUUGUAAGCAUUGUAACUAAUGAGUUAGUUGCGGGAUGAUGUAUUACGGAACAAUUAAAGAGACUUGCCGGCAACGAGAUUGAACUAGGUAUUGAUAUACCGACGAUCAAAUCUCAGGCAAGUAACAUACCGAUGACAAAGGGAACAACGUAUGUUGUUAUGCGGUUCGACCGAUAAAGAUCUUCGUAGAAUAUGUAGGAGCCAAUAUGGGCAUCCAGGUUUCGCUAUUGGUUAUUGACCAGAUAAGUGUCUCGGUCAUGUCUACAUAGUUCUCGAACACGUAGGGUCCGCACGCUUAAUGUUCGUUGACGAUAUAAUACUAUAUGAGUUAUGUAUGUUGGUGACCGAAUAUUGUUCGGAGUUCCGGAUGAGAUCACGGACAUGACGAGGAACUCCGGAAUGGUCCGGAGAUAAAGUUUGAUAUAUGGGAUAAUAGUGUUUGGUCUCCGGAAGGGUUCCGGAAUUCACCGGAAGAGGUUCCGCAUGUUUCCCGAAAUGUUUGGGUACGAGAACACUUUAUUUGGGCCAAAGGGGAAAGCCCACAAGGUUUUUGGAAGGCGCAAAAGGAAGUUUUGCAUAGUCCGGGGGCCAGACGCCAGGGUCCCUGGCGUCUGGGUCCAGAUGCCGGGAACCCUGGCGUCUGGCCCUGGAGUCCGAGAAGGACUCUUGCCUUUCGGGUGAAACCGACUUUGUCGAGGCUUUUACUCCAAGUUUCGACCCCAAGGCUCAACAUAUAAAUAGAGGGGUAGGGCUAGCACCCAAGACACAUCAGGAAACACCAAGCCGUGUGUCGGCAACCCCGUCCCCUCUAGUUUAUCCUCCGUCAUAGUUUUCGUAGUGCUUAGGCGAAGCCCUACGGAGAUUGUUCUUCACCAACACCGUCACCGCGUCGUCGUGCUGCCGGAACUCAUCUACUACUUCGCCCGUCUUGCUGGAUCAAGAAGGCGAGGACGUCACCGAGCCGAACGUGUGCAGAACUCGAAGGUGCCGUGCUUUUGGUACUUGGAUCGAUCGGAUCGUGAAUACAUUCGACUACAUCAACCGUGUUUAUAUAAUGCUUCCGCUAACGGUCUACGAGGGUAUGUAGACGACACUCUCCCCUCUCAUUGCUAUGCAUCACCAUGAUCUUGCGUGUGCGUAGGAACUUUUUUGAAAUUACUAUUUUCCCCAACAUUAAGCAUAUCAGUCAAACGCAUACGCAAAAAGAUAGGUCUAAUCAUUUCAGCAAAGUGCUCGAAAUCCUCAUCAUCCUUUUUCUUGGAUGGUUUAGGAGCAAAAGGCAUGGGUUUCUGAAUCCAUGGUUCUCUUUCUUUACCGUGCUUCCUAGCAACGAAGUCUCUCUUAUCAUAACGUUGAUUCUUUGAUUGUGUGUUAUCAAGAUCAACAGUAGGUUCAAUCUCUACAUCAUUGUUAUUGCUAGGCUGAGCAUCAUCAUGAACAUCAUCAUUAAUAUUAUCACUAGGUUCAUGUUCAUUACCAGAUUGUGUUUUAGCAUCAGAAAUAGAAAUAUCAUUGGGAUUCUCAGGUGUGUCAACAACAGGUUCACUAGAAGCAUGCAAAGUCCUAUCAUUUUUCUUUUUCUUCUUCUUAGAAGGACUAGGUGCAUCAACAUUAGUUCUCUGAGAAUCUUGCUCAAUUCUCUUAGGGUGGCCCUCAGGAUACAAAGGUUCCUGAGUCAUUUUACCCCCUCUAGUCAUAACUCUAACAACAUUAUCAUUUUUCUUAUUAUUUAAUUCAAUGAGCAAAUCAUUUUGAGCUUUAAGCACUUGUUCUACUUGAGUGGUAACCAUAGAAGCAUGUUUACUUAUGAGUUCAAUUUCACCUUUAACUCUAGACAUAUAAUCACCCAAGUGUUCAAUCAUAUAAGCAUUGCGUUUCAAUUGUCUACCAACAUAAGCAUUGAAGUUUUCUUGUUUAACAAUAAAAUCAUCAAACUCAUCCAAGCAUUGGCUAGCAAACUUAGUAGAUGGGAUUUCAGCUUUAUCAAAUCUAUAGAGAGAAUUUACCUUUACUACUUGUGUGGGGUUAUCAAGACCAUGUAUUUCUUCAAUAGGUGGUAAAUUCUUAACGUCUUCAGCUUUAAUACCUUUUUCUUUCAUAGAUUUCUUUACCUCUUGCAUAUCUUCAGGACUGAGAAAUAGAAUACCCCUUUUCUUCGGAGUUGGCUUAGGAGUUGGUUCAGGAAGUGUCCAAUCAUUUCCAUUACUCAACAUAUUAUUCAAUAGUGAUUCAGCUUGAUCAACAGUUCUUUUCCUGAAAACACAACCAGCACAACUAUCCAGGUGGUCUCUGGAAGCAUCGGUUAGUCCAUUAUAAAAUAUAUCACGUAUUUCAUUUUUCUUGAGAGGAUGAUCAGGCAAAGCAUUAAGUAAUUGGAGAAGCCUCGCCCAAGCUUGUGGGAGACUCUCUUCUUCAUUUUGCACAAAAAAUUUUAUUUCCCUUAAAGCAGCUUGUUUCUUAUGAGCAGGGAAAUAUUUAGCAGAGAAGUAAUAAAUCAUAUCCUGGGGACUAUGCACACAACCAGGAUCAAGAGAAUUAAACCAUGUUUUAGCAUCACCCUUUAAUGAGAACGGAAAUAACUUAAGGAUAUAGUAGUAAUGAAUUUUUUCCUCAUGAGUGAAUAGGGUGGCUAUAUCAUUUAAUUUAGUAAGAUGUGCCACAACAGUUUUAGAUUCAUAGCCAUGAAAAGGAUCAGAUUCAACCAAAGUAAUUAACUCAGGAUCGACAGAGAAAUCAUAAUCCUUAUCAGUAAUACAGAUAGGUGAAGUAGCAAAAGCAGCGUCAUAUUUCAUUCUAGCAUUCAAAGAUUUUUCUUUCAGCUUAGCUAAUAAUUUCUUAAGAUCAUAUCUAUCAUUGCAAGAAAGAAAAUCUCUAGCAGUUUCUUCAUCCAUAACAUAACCCUCAGGCACAACAGGCAAUUCAUAUCUAGGGGGAGAAUCUUCAUCAUCACUUUCAUCAAUAUUAUUAGUAUCAGUAAUUUCAUUCUCUCUAGCCCUAGCAAGUUGUUCAUCAAGAAAUUCACCUAGUGGCACAGUAUUAUCAAGCAUAGAAGUAGUUUCAUCAUAAGUGUCAUGCAUAGCAGAAGUGGCAUCAUCAAUAACAUGCGACAUAUCAGAAUUAAUAGCAGAAGCAGGUUUAGGUGUCGCAAGUUUACUCAAAACAGAAGGAGAAUCAAGUGCAGACCUAGAUGGCAGUUCCUUACCUCCCCUCGUAGUUAAGGGAUAAAUUUUGGUUUUCUCGUCUUUCAAGUUCCUCAUAGUGAUCAGCAGAUAUAAAUCCCAAGUGACUCAAGGAAUAGAGCUAUGCUCCCCGGCAACGGUGCCAGAAAAUAGUCUUGAUAACCCACAAGUAUAGGGGAUCGCAACAGUUUUCGAGGGUAGAGUAUUCAACCCAAAUUUAUUGAUUCAACACAGGGAGAGCCAAAGAAUAUUCUCAAGUAUUAGCUGUUGACUUGUCAAUUCAACCACACUUUGAAAACUUAAUAUCUGCAGCAAAGUAUUUAGUAGCAAAGUAGUAUGGAAUUAACGGUAACGGUGGCCAAGGUAACAGUAGCAGUUUUGUAGUAAUUGUAACCGUGGCAACCAUACAGUAACUAAGCAAAGAUCAAUAUGUGAAAAGCUCGUAGGCAUUGGAUCAGUGAUGGAUAAUUAUGUCGAAUGCGAUUCCUCAUGCAACAGUUAUAACAUAGGGUGACACAGAACUAGCUCCAAUUCAUCAAUGUAAUGUUGGCAUGUAUUCCGAAUAUAGUCAUACGUGCUUAUGGAAAAGAACUUGCAUGACAUCUUUUGUCCUACCCUCCCAUGGCAGCGGGGUCCUAUUGGAAACUAAGGGUAUUAAGGCCUCCUUUAAAUAGGGUAUGAGACCAAAGCAUUAACACUUAGUGAAUACAUGAACUCCUCAAACUACGAUCAUCACCGGGAGUGGUCCCGAUUAUUGUCACUUCGGGGUUACCGGAUCAUAACACAUAGUAGGUGACUAUUGACUUGCAAGAUAGGAUCAAGAACUCACAUAUAUUCAUGAAAACAUAAUAGGUUCAGAUCUGAAUUCAUGGCACUCGAGCCCUAGUGACAAGCAUUAAGCCUAGCAAAGCCAUAGCAACAUCAAUCUCAGAACAUAGUGGAUACUAGGGAUCAAACCCUAACAAAACUAACUUGAUUACAUGAUAAAUCUCAUCCAACCCAUCACCGUCCAGCAAGCCUACAAUGGAAUUACUCACGUACUGCGGUGAGCAUCAUGAAAAUUGUGAUGGAGGAAGGUUGAUGAUGACGACGACGACGGAUUCCCCUCUCCGGAGCCCCGAACAGACUCCAGAUCAGCCCUCCCGAGAGAGUUUAGGGCUUGGCGGUGGCUCCGUAUCGUAAAACGAGAUGAAUCCUUCUCUCUCAUUUUUUUCUCCUCGAUCGUGAAUAUAUGGAGUUGGAGUUGAGGUCGGUGGAGCCUNNNNNNNNNNNNNNNNNNNNNNNNNNNNNNNNNNNNNNNNNNNNNNNNNNNNNNNNNNNNNNNNNNNNNNNNNNNNNNNNNNNNNNNNNNNNNNNNNNNNNNNNNNNNNNNNNNNNNNNNNNNNNNNNNNNNNNNNNNNNNNNNNNNNNNNNNNNNNNNNNNNNNNNNNNNNNNNNNNNNNNNNNNNNNNNNNNNNNNNNNNNNNNNNNNNNNNNNNNNNNNNNNNNNNNNNNNNNNNNNNNNNNNNNNNNNNNNNNNNNNNNNNNNNNNNNNNNNNNNNNNNNNNNNNNNNNNNNNNNNNNNNNNNNNNNNNNNNNNNNNNNNNNNNNNNNNNNNNNNNNNNNNNNNNNNNGGGGGGGGGGGGUAGGCGUGCCCCCACCAUCAUGGACAGGGUGUGGGCCCCCCUGGUCUUGAUUCUUUCACCUGUAUUUUUAUAUAUUCCAAAAAUAUUCUCCUGAAGUUUCGGGUCAUUCCAAGAACUUUUAUUUCUGCACAAAAAUAACACCAUGGCAAUUCUGCUGAAAACAGCAUCAGUCCGGGUUAGUUCCAUUCAAGUCAUGCAAGUUAGAGUCCAAAACAAGGGCAAAAGUGUUUGGAAAAGUAGAUACGAUGGAGACGUAUCAAAGCACCCCAUGUUAAUGUAUCUAUGACUAUAACUUCCAUGUGAAUAUGAACAAACAUAAAUCAUUACGUUUUCUUCCUUGUCCAACGUCAACUAUUUUGACACAAAAUAUUUAGUGGGGGCUCACAAUCAUAAAAUGUGUCCAAGAUAGUGUAUUUGCAUGUGGAUCUUCUCUUCCCUUAUUAAUUCUUUCAUAAGUUGCGUCAUUGACCAAUGUUGUGUUUGUCAAUCUCCAACAAAUUUUACCACUUAUACUUUUCCUUAUGUGAUGUCAUUACUUACCAUAAGAUUAGCAUAUGACCUUUUCAUUUAUUUUCAUUUCUUUUUAUUGAAUCAUUAAAGUAAAAAACAAAAGUCAAACUAUUCUUUAUUGUAUAUCUCGAACACGAUUAGAAAGAUAGAUCACUAAGCAAACACUCAAAAAAUAAAGGAUCAAACUAAAAUUUUAUUCAACUAAAUCAUAGGGAAACUAAAGAUCGAACUAGAAUAGAUAAUAGCAAAGAUAAUGGUGGUGAUACGAUACAGGGACACCUCCCCCAGGCUUGGCACAAGACAAGGGGAGUGUCCAUACCAUGAACUCAAGUCUCCUUUGGUGAUGAAGAAGGUGGUGGUGGUGAAGAUGAGGUAGUAGCGAGCUUUAAUAGGUUCUGCAAUCUAGGGAUGAUGGUUCGGGUCCGGAGAGAGAUGAUGUGCUCUUGUAAGAAAAUAUUUUCGCGAGUGAGAUAUUUAUUCUGUCCAAAAACCGUCUUGAAGGGAUUAAAGGCUUCAAUUUUAGUGGGGGUAAGAUGAGCAUAGUAAGGUUGAAGGAUAUCUUUUUCCUCUUUCGCCGGAAUAGCUUGCUCCCCAGCUUGAGCUUGCUCCACCAUAGCCUCCUUAUCCUUGCUCUCUUGGAUGACUUCCUUUGGUUCCUCCCUUUUUAGUUCUAUCCUCAUCAACCAAGAAUCUCCUUCCCCGUUGUUGGAGGAGGGUGAAGACAUGAUGCCUGGCCUUGUUGCAUCUGACAGAAUACAACAAGAAACACGAACGGAAGAUUUCUCCAUGAUACGAUGGUCAAUACGUUCGGGGGGAAUAUAAAGAUUUUUAUCUUGGGAAACAAGCAAACGGGAGGAAAAUGGAGUCGCGAAGGUUCCCGAGGUGGGCACAACCCACCUGGGCGCGCCAGGGGGCCCCGGCGCCCCCUGGUGUCUUGUGCCCCCCUCUGGUGCCUUCCUAGUUGUUUCUUAUUUUCCUUAUUUUUAAAAUAUUCCAAAACUGACAGAAAAUAUUUUUGCGGAUUUUUCGGAGUCCGUUUACUUACUGUAUCAUGUACCUCCUCUUUUUUAAUUAUUCUGGAGUGUUCGGGAAGGUCUCUUUUAUGUGUUCCUCGGGUGUCAUGGUUUGAAUAAUAUUGCUUUCAACAUUAAUACGCGUACCUGAGAUAUAGUGUUUAAUUCUUUGACCAUUGACCACCUUCGGGUUAGUACCUUCGACAUUAUUAAUCUUGAUAGCUCUAGAGCGAUAAACCUCCUCGAUAAUAUAUGGUCCUUCCCAUUCAGAGAGAAGUUUUCCUGCAAAGAAUCUUAAGCGAGAGUUUUACAAAAGAACAUAUUCACCAACUUUGAAUUCCCGCUUUUGGAUUCUUUUGUCAUGCCAUCUUUUAACUUUUUCUUUAAAUAGUUUGGCAUUUUCAUAGGAUUGGGUUCUCCAUUCAUCUAGUGAGCUAAUAUCAAAUAACCUCUUGAUACGUCUCCAAUGUAUCUAUAAUUUUUGAUUGCUUCAUGCUAUAUUAUAUUCUGUUUUGGACAUUAUUGGGCUUUAUUAUACACUUUUAUAUUACUUUUGGGACUAACCUACUAACCAGAGGCCCGGCCCAAAAUUGCUGUUUUUUUGCCUAUUUCAGAGUUUCGCAGGAAAAGAAUAUCAAACGGUGUCCAAACGGAAUGAAACCUUCGGGAACGUGAUUUUCGGAACGAACGUGAUCCAGAGGACUUGGAGUCUACGCAAAGCAACAAACGAGGAAGGCACGAGGUAGGGGGGCGCGCCUACCCUCCCCCCCAGGCGCGCCCUCCACCCUCGUGGGCCCCUCGUUGCUCCACCGACGUAUUUUUUCCUCCUAUAUAUACCUACGUACCCCCAAACUACCAGAUACAUAGCCAAAAACCUAAUUCCACCGCCGCAACUUUCUGUACCUGAGAGAUCCCAUCUCGGGGCCUUUUCCGGAGCUCCGCCAGAGGGGGCAUUGAUCACGGAGGGCCUCUACAUCAUCUCCAAGGCCUCUCCGAUGAAGUGUGAGUAGUUUACCUCAGCCUUCGGGUCCAUAGUUAUUAGCUAGAUGGCUUCUUCUCUCUUUUUGGAUCUCAAUACAAUGUUCUCCCCCUCUCUUGUGGAGAUCUAUUCGAUGUAAUCUUCUUUUGCGGUGUGUUUGUCGAGAUCCGAUGAAUUGUGGGUUUAUGAUCAAGAUUAUCUAUGAACAAUAUUUGAAUCAAAUAUGAUUCUUUUAUGUAUGAUUAAUUAUCUUUGCAAGUCUCUUUGAAUUAUCAGUUUGGUUUGGCCUACUAGAUUGAUCUUUCUUGCAAUGCGAGAAGUGCUUAGCUUUGGGUUCAAUCUUGCGGUGUCCUUUCCCAGUGACAGUAGGGGCAGCAAGGCACGUAUUGUAUUGUUGCCAUCGAGGAUAAAAACAUGGGGUUUAUAUCAUAUUGCAUGAGUUUAUCCCUCUACAUCAUGUCAUCUUUCUUAAUGCAUUACUUUGUUCUUCAUGAACUUAGUACUCUAGUUGCAUGCUGGAUAGCGGUCAAUGUGUGGAGUAAUAGUAGUAGAUGCAGAAUCGUUUCGGUCUACUUGUCUCGGAUGUGAUGCCUAUAUACAUGAUCAUACCUAGAUAUUCUCAUAACUAUGCUCAAUUCUAUCAAUUGCUCAACAGUAAUUUGUUUACCCAUCGCAAAUACUUAUGUUAUCUUGAGAGAAGCCACUAGUGAAACCUAUGGCCCCCGGUUCUAUUUUCCAUCAUAUUAAUCUUCCAAUACUUUGUUAUUUCUGUUGCUGUUUAUUUUGUUUUAUUUACUUUGCAUCUUUAUCACAAAAAUACCAAAAAUAUUAUCUUAUCAUCUCUAUCAUAUCUCACUCUCGUAAGUGACCGAGAAGGGAUUGACAACCCCUUUAUCACGUUGGUUGCAAGGUUCUUGUUUGUUUGUGUAGGUGCGAGGGACUCGUGUGUGGCCUCCUACUGGAUUGAUACCUUGGUUCUCAAAAACUAAGGGAAAUACUUAUGCUGCUUUACUGCAUCACCCUUUCCUCUUCAAGGGAAAACCAACGCAAUGCUCAAGAGGUAGCAAGAAGGAUUUCUGGCGCCGUUGCCGGGGAGUCUACGCAAAAGUCAAGCCAUACCAAGUACCCAUCACAAACUCAUCUCCCUCACACUAUAUUAUUUGCCUUUUGCCUCUCGUUUUCCUCUCCCCCACUUCACCCUUGCCGUUUUAUUCGCCUUCGUCCUGUAUGCCUUUCUGUUUGUGUUUCCACGUGCCUUCUAUUUGCUUGCAUCUUUGCUUGCUAAAAAUCUAUUGAUAUGGAUCCACUUAAAGUGUUCUACUUGGAUCAUCUUUGAUCCUUAUGCGCUCAUGCUGAAACCCCAACUAGUCUAGUUGAUGGGAAAUCUUUAGAUGAGCAUGCUCAUUUUGUGCGUCACCGUUUGUCUAAAAAAGGGAGACUCUUAUGUGGUCAAAUAAACAAAUUACUAUGUUAUGCUUGGAAUCUUUGUGAAAUGUGUGAUUUUACUUGUUGCUCUAAGAACCCUAAAAACACCUUCCCUACCUAUGUGAGUUUAAUGACAAUGAAAUCUUAUCUUCUUAUGCAAAGGGUGUUUAUAGUUACUAUGAUAUCGAACAAAUUGAAGAAUUUGUCGUUUUUGAGGGUGCUCAUGUGUCAGGACCCCGACUCGAUGUCACAUCGAUCUAGCUUGUAACACCUCAUAUCACUUUGCGGCCUCACGCACGAUAUCCCCACGGGUGUCGCCUUACCUUUGCCCGGGACCGUUUGCGCCUUUUGGCUCACGUAUAUGAUAGUGUCGCUAGCAUCCAUAUGAUAAAGAGCCCGGGCUGACAUGACUAGUCGUAAACCCAAAGUGGCACAGACUUACAGGGACAGGCAUCCAUGACCCAGCAACGAACGUGUCGGUCAUCAGCAAGUGGGUCCGGGCUGUAGCACUGGGCUAGCAGGACUCCGGUAAACCGGGCUGUAGCGGGCUAAUAGGACUCCGGUACUGAAUGCGUGACAUUUCCCCGAAGGGACAGACACAGGAACGAAGAAGGACACAUGCCGGCCAGCCUAAGUGUUCCCGAGCAGUAGCAAGCUACCAUGGCUCAGUGGUAACACUAGGAGACAUUUCCCGGUAAGAGAGGCUACUAAGGAUAAACAACUAGAUAGUCAGAUCCCACACAUACCAAGCAUUUGAAACAUACACACAAUAUGCCCGAUAUGUGCAAAUACAACAAGGCAUCACAACAUGACUCUAUGACACAAGUACUUUAUUUAGGGCUCAGAGAGCCAUACAUAACAUACACAAAGAUACGGGUCACACGACCCAGCAUUCAAGUCAUACAGUCAUACAAACCAGCAGCGGAAGUAACUUGUCUGAGUACAGACAACUAGUAAAAUAAAAGAGGCUUGGAAAGCCUAGCUAUACUACGAGGUCCUUCACAAGCUCAGGAUCACCACCUGGGCCUUAGCCUACUCAUUGAUGUCAACGUCUACGUAGAACCCAUCAGAAGGGGUUGCAGCGUCUUCUGUAAAAAUGUAAAUUAUAGCAACAUGAGUACAAAGGUACUCAGCAAGACUUACAUCAGAUCCUACAUACAUGCAUAUUAUCAAGAAGGGUUGGUGGAGUUAUUGCAGCAAGCCAGCUCUGACUCUUGGCUAGGCUAACCUACGAGACUCCAACUUGAAAUGGUUUUGCGUACACGAGUCCACUACUCACCAAUUCAAUACACUACCGAGGAUCCACCUCCAUCUUCCUACGGAAGAUGCCAUCCUCGGCACUCACACUUAUCUUGAGGCUUUUAGUAGUUUCCAUUUACUUGUCUAUGAACUGUAUAGGCAACCAAGUAGUCCUUUACCGCGGACGCGGCUAUUCGAAUAGAUCAUGAUAACCCUGCAGGGGUGUACUUCUUCAUACACGCUCUCACCACUUACCGUCGUUUACACGACAUGUACUCGGCAACCUUCAAGCGGAAGCCCAACGUGGGUGUCGGCCACGACCUACCUAAUCACCUAAGCCUCCAGUCCAGGUUUAUCGCCUAUCCAGGUUCCAUCCGUAGGGAGUCCGGCCGAGGUUUCCCAUACGGCCCCGAACGAUGUGAACAGGGUUCCCGAGAUACCUAACGGGUAUUCGGUACACCCGGCCACGUACCUACCGCAUCACAGCCCACCCCUAUGGUCAGCGCUGUCCACGGCCUCCAGUAGGCUACAAACACCAGAAACUACUUGCAACUCCUGGACGGAGAACUAGGGUGAAUAAGAAGCCGAGAGGGUCCAUUGGUUUCGGGCCCAAUGCAUGGUAGUAGCUGAUUCUUAAAUCACACAUACAGAUCUUAGUGCUUAAGGUCGGCUUCAAUGAAACAACCCACCAUGUACUCCUACAUGGCCUCUCAUCGAUACCUUUACCAAAUCGUGUUCACCACACCACUCUCAUUACCGACAUAAUCAUUUCACUCUAGCCCAUCACCCAGAUGAACCAGACCUGACACGACUCUAAGCAUAGCAGGCAUAGCAAGGUAGGAGCAACACAUACAUAUGGCUCAAUCAACUCCUACACAUGCUAGUGGGUUUCAUCUAGUUACUGUGGCAAUGACAGGUCAUGCAGAGGAAGUGGGUUCAACUACCGUAGCACACAGCAGUUUGAAAACGUGUUGUCUUAAUGCAGUAAAAGAGAGCAGGAGCGAGAACAUGGGAUUGUAUCGAUAUGAUCAAAUGGUUGGUUGCUUGCCUGAUGGUUCAAUGCACUGAUACGGUUCUUCGUUAGGGUAAUCACGAUACUCCUCGGAGGCAGAACCUGCCGCAAAGAACACCGAUACACAACCAUCACCAAACAAUGUGCAACAAUAUGAUGCAUGCAUGAAACAUAGCAAUAUGAGUGUGUUGGGCUAAUGCAGCUAAGACCAGAAGGGUUUGAACCAAUUUGAAUCAAAGAUUCAAAUUUCAAACUCAAACAUGGCCCUUUAAAGUGUUUUUCCUUGUUCUGUAUUAAACAUCAGGUUAACUUGUUUAAUCAUGCAUGAAAAUAGUACAGAUGGAUAGAUUGGAUUUUUCUGAUCAUUUUUCAUAUAUAAUUUGUCUGAUUUGGAGUUACAGAAUAAAAGUUAUGAAUUUUUGAAGUUUAAACUAUAUUCUGGAAUUUCCUAUAUUAGAUUAAUUCCAGAAAAUCAAUUAUUGCGUCAGCCUGACGUCCGUGUGACGUCAGCAGGUCAACGGAACACGUCCGGGUCAAACCUAAAAGUGGGUCCCGCGUGUCAGUGUGAUUAAAUUAAUUAAAGUUUAAUUAAAACUAAACCUGUUUAAUUAACAGGGCUGGGCCCCACCUGUCAUUGACUCAGGGGAGUCAACCAGGGCCCACCCGUGGUCAAACCCGGGUCGGCUGCACCGGCGUUUAGCCGCCAGCGAGCCCGACGCGGCGGCGGAAGUGGUUUUGGCCGUUUCGGCCACCAAAUGGGUCGCGGAGACCACCGGAGUGGAGCUGAGGACGAGCCGCAGCUCUUGGUGGAGUCCGUUGGGGUCGGGGUGGCCGGAGUUGGCGCCGGCGAUGACUUUGGCGGCCACCGGGGUUCGGCCGAAGACAAACUUGAUGCUAGAGGGGUCGGUGAGGCUCGGGGAGUGGCUAGCUAGGUGCUAAGUGACACGGUGAGCAUGAUGGACACCGUGGAGUGGUCGGAGGGUGACCGGGAGCACGUCGGCGACGAGCUCCACGGCGGUGGGUGCGGUUGAGCUCCGGGAGGUCGCUACACGGCUCGGGAGCAAGAACAGAAGGGAGGGGAAGAUGGCUAAGCUCACAGUGAGUGCGACGAAGCCCUUGGUGUGGCCGGAGAUGGACCGGAGCGACGACGGCGUUGAAGGGGAUCUCCGGCGACGGCGGUUCGGGCGAGGUCGUUGCGGUGGACUCGGGCGUUGCAAGCGCUCGGGGCUCGGCUUGCUCGAUGGAGUGGACAGCGGCGGAGCUCCUGGACACGAUGAGAGGACGCACGGGCGGCGGGGAGCACGGCUACGACGACGGCACAUCGAUGNNNNNNNNNNCGGGCCAAAGAAUUGUCUUUCCCCGGUCUCUGACCAGUUAAGGGGUGUUCGACACCGUCGUCCAUAGAGGACUUCAAAAGGGGCUUUACCCAAGCUAGAUUGAUAGCUGUUGUUGUAAGCGAAUUCGGCAAAUGGAAGGCACUUCUCCCAAUCCAUUCCGAAUGAGAUAACAGAGGCUCGAAGCAUGUCUUCUAGGAUCUGGUUGACGCGUUCCACUUGACCACUCGACUGAGGGUGGAAAGCGGUGCUAAAGGAGAGACGGGUUCCCAUAGCAUUUUGGAAACUUUCCCAAAAUCGAGAGGUGAAAAUACUUCCUCGAUCCGAGUUAAUUUCCAAAGGAACACCAUGGAGAGACACUAUCCGGGAGAUGUAUAAGUCUGCCAAUUGACUAGCGGUUAUACUCUCACGAACAGGUAGGAAAUGGGCUACUUUGGAAAGACGAUCGACAACGACGAAGAUAGCAUUAUUCCCUCUCUUGGUCCUGGGAAAACCGGUAAUGAAAUCCAUACCAAUUUUAUCCCAUUUCCAUUCAGGAAUAGCUAAGGGUUGAAGGGUGCCAGCAGGCCGUUGAUGCUCUGCUUUUACACGACGACAGACGUCGCAAUUAGCAAUAUACUGCGCAAUUUCUCUCUUCAUCCUAGUCCACCAGAACCUCUGGCGUAGGUCCUGAUACAUCUUAGUACUACCGGGAUGAAUGGUGAGAGGAGAUUCAUGAGCCUCCUUAAGGAUUAAUCGCCUCAGGUUUCGCACUUUGGGAACCACUAGUCGAUUCCCGAAGUAUACGACCCCUUGAUCAUUAAUGGAGAAACAAUUCGCAAUUCCUUUCUUGAUGUUUCUCUUGAUGCGGGAGAUUCCCGGAUCUACCUUCUGUGCCUUGACGAUCUGAUCCGUAAGGGUAGGCUUCGCCACCAAGGUGGAAAGAAAACCUUGAGGAACAAUGUGAAGGUUAAGCUUCCGAAAUUCCUCAUGGAGAAGCGGUUGACUUUGUUGUAACAUCAGGUUGUUACAAUAAGAUUUACGACUUAGCGCAUCAGCCAUGACGUUGGCUUUCCCUGGGGUGUAAGUUAUUCCUAAGUCGAAAUCUGUGAUCAACUCGACCCAACGUCUUUGCCUGAGAUUCAAAUCCGGUUGGGUGAAGAUGUACUUCAGACUUUGGUGAUCAGUGAAUAUUUCGCAACGAUUACCGAGGAGGUAAUGUCGCCAGGUUUUAAGUGCAUAGACUACAGCUGCAAGCUCUAGAUCAUGAGUAGGAUAAUUCUCCUCAUGUGGGUGCAAUUGCCGUGAGGCAUAAGCAAUUACAUGUCGAUCUUGCAUGAGAAUACAGCCUAGUCCUUGUCGCGAGGCGUCGCAGUAGAUAACAAAGUCCUUAGAGAAGUCUGGCGGUACCAGAACGGGAGCAGAAGUUAGGCGUCUUUUCAGUUCCUGAAAGCUGUGCUCACAUUGUGGAGUCCACUCGAACUUUUUAUCUUUCUUGAGGAGUUCGGUUAGAGGUUUAGCAACUUUGGAGAAAUUUUCGACAAAGCGACGGCAAUAGCUCGCUAAGCCCAGAAAACUCCGAACUUGCUUGACCGAUUCAGGUGGAGUCCAAUUAAGGACGGCUUGAACUCGCUCAGGGUUAACAGCAAUACCUUUACCAGAUAUUACAUGACCCAGAUAGGUCACUUCCGAUAACCAGAAUUCACAUUUAGAAAAUUUGGCAUAAAGACGAUGCUCUCGAAGUUUCUUCAACACUAGCCUUAGAUGUUCGGCAUGUUCUUCCUCGUUCUUGGAGUAGAUGAGUAUAUCAUCGAGAUAAACCACGACGAAUUUAUCCAAAUACUCCAUGAAGAUUGAGUUCAUUAACCGAGAAAAGGUGGCUGGAGCGUUGGUUAAACCGAAGGACAUGACGGUGUACUCGUAUUGGCCAUAACGAGUAACAAAGGCCGUUUUAGGAAUGUCCCCGUUUCUGAUUUUGAUUUGAUGGUAGCCCAACCUCAAAUCCAUCUUGGAGAAGACUGAGGAUCCAGCGAGCUGAUCAUACAGGUCGUUGAUCCUGGGGAGCAGAUAUUUGUUCU
rnacentral:lncRNA from 1 species